UUUUUUUUUUUUUUGCAGUAUGGUUAUUACAGAGCUUCCUUCGGAACAUGCUAAGAAAGCCCUUGAGGCAGUAUGCCUGCCAUCUGUUGCUCCAUUACAAGUAAGUUUCCUUUCUAAAAUUUUAUGAAUGACUUUAAGUGUCAAUUUACAAAUACUUGGAGUUAACUACCAGGAGAUGAUCAAUCAAGGUCCCCAAGUUUUGGGGCAAAAAAACGCUCGGGAAUUAACAGUUCAUUUUGACCGACUUGCAAAUAUAUUCAGGUACAGGCAAUUUCCUUGUUCCGUUUUUCAUCUGUUUGAUUCUAUUUGCAUUGUCAAUUUUGGGACUGAAACCAUUUGCAGAUAUGUAAAUCACCCAGAAGCGGUUGCAGAUGCAAUUCAAAGACUUUGGCCAAUUUUCAAAGCCAUUUUUGAUGUGUAAGAAAGCUGUUUGCUGUAAAUAUUGCUUUCAGGAUAACUCUUUGAUUAUAAACUUCCCUAAUGGUAGUGUUUGAUGAUAUUCACAUAGUCGUGCUUGGGACAUGCGGACAAUGGAGUCUCUUUGCCGGGCUUGUAAAAAUGCUGUAAGUUCAGUAAUCUAUGCCAUCUCCUGCCAAGGGAUUCAAGAAAUCAUUCAUCAAGCUGCCUAUUCCUGAAAAAUGUUGUAGUGACACAACUUCUCCUGUAAAUAUGUGGCGUUUUUCAUAGUCCUUUGAAUGCUUCGUGUUCUUCUCUUCUUUAUUCUUGUGCCUCUUGACAUCUACAUCCGUAGCUGAUUUUUUCUUCUUUCUGUGAAUUUUUGCUGUCUUAUGUUCCUUAAUGUAUGACCUCAAACUGCUUUUAUGUUACUCUUUGAAAUUGUGAUUGAUAAUAUUCCCUACAGCUUAUUUAAAGUGGCCUGUUCUGAACUCUGAAGACAAGGAUGAUCAAGAUUCUAGUCCGAGCCCGACAAUGAGCAAAUGGUAUUAUAACUUUCCUAACUCUGAUGAUUUCAUCCAUUAGGUACGAACUUCUAAGAGGCUCAUGGGGGUUACAAUUGGGGCGAUGCUGGAGGAAAUACAAGGACUAUAUGGACAACACCAUCAGCCGUGUUUCCUUUAUCUCUCUAGUGAAGUCAUAAAGGUAUUUGAGUUCUUUCUUACAUUGCAAAAUUUUAACCAAAUUUGCAGUUUCCAUUUUAAGCAACAGUUGGAACUUCUGCCGCAGAUAUUUGGUUCAGAUCCAUCCUGUGCAAAUUACUUGAAAGUUCUCAUUGAGUCUCUCUUUAGCCAUACAGCAUGUCUUCUUACAAAGAUUCAGGUACAGUCUGUUGCUUUAUUUUGCAUUUCACUGCUAGUUAUGUAAGCUAACUCCGAAGUGUGGUUCACAGGAUUUCACUUCCCGUCCGGAUAUAGCAGAUGAUUGUUUUUUGCUUGCAUCAAGAUGUAUCCGAUACUGUCCUCAACUAUUUUUUCCCUCUACUGUGUUUCCAUCAUUGGUGGAUUGUGCCAUGAUCGGCAUCACCGUGCAGCACAGGUAAGUUCUCUCCAUUUCCUCCUCACCCCAUGAACAUUAUGGCCUGUUUACAUCUAUUUUAAUGUAAAGAGGAAGCUCUGGUUCUACACGUCUAAAGUGAUGAAGAUUUUGUAUUCUGGACAAUAACAUAAAACUGUGAGAAAUGUGAGAUAAAUUGGUAGAAUUUGUGAGGACAAACGUCUUAUGGUUGAAUCUUGGCAGCGCCAAUAAUUUAUCUCUUCAUGUGUAGAAUACAAUUGUUGAGAUAUAUACCUUCGUAGGCAAAAAAUCAAUUUCAUCUAUAACUUUAACAUUUUUAUUUAACUAUCUGAUACAGACCUCAAGCUGGUGGCUGCAUGUCAUACAUGCCAUGUCUGUUACAGAUGUAAUUAGUGCAGGGACUGUAACUGACUUGAUGACUUCUGUGUGAGCCAAUCAUUUAAUUUUAUGAUUUUUGUUAUAGUGCCUCUCAUGAGAGUAUCUUUUCUCUGACAAAACAACAGUAAAUUUUAAUUGCUUGACCUCUUAUUAUGUAAUGGCUUUGGUAUAACAUAAAAUGCAAUUUAAUUAUUUCACACAAGUUGCAUCUGGCUUAGCUCUACCAACUUCAAUUCUUUGAGUAGUUUGGCAGCAUGAGUCCAAGCUGCUGUGGUUGUGGUGCUUUGUACACUAGAUUUUGCAAUCACAUUUUCUUUCUUUCUUUCCUAGGAGAAGUUGCUCCAACUAGAAUGCUAUACUUAGACUUAUAGCGUCCAGCAAAGUAUGUCACCAUCCAAUCUGCACCGGUCAUGUUUGAUUCACGUGGAGUAGUACUUCAUCUGGAGCUUAUUUUAUAUGCUGAAGCCUGAAGCAUGCAUCCUGAUGAGUAUCACUAGAGAAUGAAAUUUGUCGUCCUAACUAGAAAGAUAAUAUUAGGUCUGUCAUUGUGAGGUAGUUUAGUUUACCAACUUUUUAUAUCUCCCUGGAACACCAAGAGGCUCCUCUGAUCUAGUAGAUCACUAAGGGGACCAAAAUCUUAUUUCAUCAUAAAUUGAUUUUCUUCCCUAUGAGUUAGUCUCAAUAAUACCAUGGUUUUUGUGACAUUGACAAAUAUAACUGUCAGAAAAGAGCGGAGGAAAAGGAUUCAUGUAGAUAACUAUAAUCAAGUACCUGAGUGAAUGAUACAAGAACUGAGUCACUGGACACGGCCAGUUUGAUUAGCAUGAACUACUUGAUGAGACAUUAACUGGUCUGAUGCUGAAGGAACACAUAUUCACUGCGUUGGUUGUCAUAUUUUGUUGCAUUUCUCAAUGCAAUAUAAGCAGCAGUUUGUUCCAUAUCAAUAUGGCGCUAUAUUUGUUUCCAAAGUCCAUUGCCUACAAUAUGAAUUACAGAGGCCAAGUACCCAACAUAUUUAGUAAAAGUACACUUGCAGUUGAAUUUUAAUCUGUCAAGCGUAGAAUCAUCUUUUCAUACUCCCUCUGUUUCAAUUUAAGGUGUCUUAGUUUGAUUAGGCACGGAGUUUAAGAAAAUAUGGGAGACUUUUGAAUCUUGUGGCCUAAAACUAAAGAUGUGGGUAAUGUAUCAAGAUUUCCGUUGAAUCUUGUGGUCUUAAACAAACCAUGUAAAAUGGUGGAAUUAAGGAGUUACCAAUGUCAUUCUUUCUGAAACAGACUAAAACCGAAAGUAAGGCACUUACAUUGAAACGGUGGGAGUAUAUCAUUGUCCACUCAUCUAUCUAAUUACUAGAGAACCUAUCUGGAACUGCAAGGAAACUCUGGCCCUUUUAGAUUUGGAUUUCUCUUCUCUAGUAAUUCUAUUAUCUAUUUGGUAUGAUAUUUUAUUAUGUUUUGAUUGUUCUAAAUUUCGAAUUAUUGACUGGAUUGUAGGGAGGCUUGCAAUUCAAUAUUGAACUUUGUAUCUGAUAUAUUCGAUCUUGCAAACUCUACAAACGGAGAAAGUUGCCUAUCCAUAAGGGACAGUGUAAUUAUUCCUCGAGGGCCCACUAUCACCAGAAUUUUGGUUGCUUGUCUAACUGGAGCCCUUCCUAGUUCACGACUAGAAACAGUAAGUACAAAUCAUUAUUUUUUAUAGAACGCAGAUGGGUGAAGAGAAAGGUAGUAUUAGUUUGUUGCAUUCAAGAGUUACUCUGAGCUGUUUUCUUUGUAGGUAACUUACGCUCUACUGGCAUUGACCCGGGCUUAUGGGUUGAAAGCUCUUGAGUGGGCAAAGGAAUGUGUGUCCUUAAUUCCAUCAACAGCUGUUACAGAAUUGGAAAGGACUAGAUUUUUACAAGCCUUGUCAGAUGCAGCCUCUGGAGCAAAUAUGAACGGUCUGGUAGUUCCGAUUGACGAGAUUUCAGAGGUUUGCCGACGUAAUCGAACUGUUCAGGAGAUAGUUCAAGGAGCUUUGAGGCCACUUGAUCUGAACAUAGUAGCUGUAUCAUAGUGGAGAGGGUGCAGAAGGGCCUUUUUUAACCUCUCCCUUCUCUGCAGGCAGUAGUUUUUCAUGAUUCUUUGGAGGCCUUAUUUCAUCGUUUGUCCAUUGUGCGGCUUGGGAAUAUGUACGAGUUAUGCAGCAAAAGGGUGUUGUAUUGUUGUUACUUUUUCUACUUGUGGAAAGUGAUAGAGGAACUCAAGCAGAUGCAGUUCACUUGGUUUGGCUUUUUCACUUUCGGUCCUUUUUCGUUUUGGGGGGGUUUUCUUUUGAGGGUGAGGAGUUUCCAGUUUUGAGGUUUUAAUCCUGGUGUUCAAUAUACAAGCUUCUUGUAUUUGGUAAGAUUUUCCAGUUUACAACUGUGUAUAGAAUGUGCAGUUUCUUUCAGUUCAAUAGAUGAUGAAUGCUUAGUGAAGGAAUGUGGUAUGCAAAUCAAACAUGUUGUUUAUCACCUGUUUUAUUUCACAUUAUGGAGGAUGCAAUCUUACUUUCCUGCUUGGUUUCUCAGAUCUCUAAGUGUUGGUGUUAUAAAUAUAUCUCAUCCAGCUUUUCGUUGGUUAUUGUGUCACUAUAUGGAAUUCGAUAAACUUUACUUUGUGACUUGAAAAAUUCUGUCUUGUUUUGUAAGGUAUGCAACUUUUCUAGAAAAAAGAAGGUAGAUGUUUAAUUUUAUAUGAAACUUAUACUUUGAGCCAGGGGUGAAUUUAUACACUAAAAUUGGGACACAUGAAUAUGUGGUUUCUCCAUAAAAUUAGGUAUUUAUGUAUACAUAUCUUUUUUAAAUGAUUUAAUAUUAUCUGUUGGCAUCCAUCUUACUAGAAGAAGAUUAACUGAUGUAUUUGAUUGAAUGUUGAGUUAUUUGACUUUAUACGUUUCUCUCUUUUAUUUAGUGGUGCACCAAUGUUUUACAAAUCCUAUGGGACAUAUUCCAUAUUCAAAGGACUACUAUUCUCUGAGGCACAUUUUCUUUAAUGAUCGUAAUAACACUAUGAAGUCUGAACUCUACCUAACAAAUAAGUAAUAACAAUAAAUAAUUUAGCUUGCUCCAACUUCUACGUGGGUCUUGAAAUAAAUAAAGAAAAAGUUGAAAAUCCUCUCUUAGAUUUGAGAGUUCCACUCAAAAUCAUCUAUAAUAUUAUAUUAUAUUAUAUUAUAUUAUAUAUAAUAUAGAUAGGAGUAACAUGUAAUACGAAUAGUUCUCAAAAUCUUAAGAAACUGUGCGUAGAGUAUUUCAUAUCAAAUCAAAUAAUUUUAUAUUUUAGUAGUUAAAACUAAAGUGAGAAUAUAUCAGUUGACAUAAUUAAGUGAAAAUGGGUGCAUGCAAAUUACCUAUUCAGGUUCAGUAUAAACGUGAUGUAUGUAUCAAUAUAAACGUGAUAUCAAUAAAUUAUUAGUCCCUAUGUCUCUAAUUAUUUGUCCAUUUUUCAUUUUUAGUUGUCUCUAAUUACUUGUCCAUUUUGACAAAUCAAUAAAGAACAAAUUUUUUUUUUACCUAUUAUCCCCUCAAUUAAUCACUUUGAAAAAUGUAGAACUUCUUGAAAAGCUUAAGUUUUUUUAAUUCAUCUACUUCAUAAUUAGUAGGGAUAAAAUGGUUGUUAAUAAUUAUUUUCUUAAUAGAUGUGUCAAUUCAAGAAUGGACAAGUAAUUAAGAACGGAGGGAGUAUUAUACUACUAAAGAUAACUUUGAAUUUUUUAAUUUAAACUUUUGAUAUGUUAUGAUUAAAAUUAGGGGAAAUGCAUAAGUACCUCCAGCCUAUGCCCAAAAUCUCUGAGACACACCUAACAUUUACUAAGGUCUUAUUACCCCUCCGAACUUAUUUUAUAUAUAAUUUUCUACCCCUUUACGGCCUACGUGGCACUAUCCUUGAAAAAAUUGUCAACACGCGCUGGACCCACAAGAUAGUGCCACGUAGGCCGAAAUGGGGUUGGAAAUUAUACAUAAAAUAAGUUCGGGGGUAAUAGGACCUUAGUAAAGGUUAGAUGUGUCUCAGGAAUUUUGGGCAUAGGCUGGAGGUACUUAUGCAUUUUCCCUUAAAAUUAUAAGAUUUAAAGAACAUUUCGAUACAUGUGAUAUAUCUUUGAUUUAAAAUUGUAAAGAUCAAUAAAAAAUUUUACUUUUUAAAAUUUUGUUAUUUAAUUUGAUCUUAGAUAUUCCCUAUGUCCCUAAUUACUUGUCCACUUUUCUUUUUAUAAUUGUCCCUAAUUAUUUGUCCAUUUUGACAAAUCAAGAAAGGACAAAAUAAUUUUAUCUAUUAUACCCUCAAUUAAUUACUUUGAAAAAAGUACAAUUUCUUGAAAAUCUUAAAUUUUUAAUCCAUCCACUUCAUAAUUAAUAGGGAUAAAAUAGUAAACUCAUUAUGUCAAUAAUUUAUUUCUUAAUAGGUGCGUCAAUUCAAAAGUGGACAAGUAAUUAGGGAUAGAGGGAGUAACAUUUAUGAUGUUUAACUUAAAUACGUGUUCUAUUCAACAUAAUACAAAUUGAGGCGCAUCAACAUAAUUUGGGUUUUUUUUUUUGUUUGUGCCCCAAUAUACGGAAUCAUGGUAAAGCUUCGAUUAAAUUCAGAUCGCAGAGCGCAUGUCCCAUUAAGAAGUGGCGUUGGUCAGCACAAGUUGGGUUUAGAACAAUUUCCUUUUCGUGUUGGAUUUCACUUCCCACUUGCCCCGUCUCUCUCUAUACUUUCAUUUGCCUCUCUCUCUCUUUCAUGUUCAUUCAUGCAUCUGUAAUUUGCAAAAUUCACUGUACCCAUUACUUCUCUGCUGAUAAAUCACGGCUUCCUUCUUCUUCUUCUUCCCCUAAGCAAACACCCUUCAAAGUUGCAACCUUUCACUUUCUUGAUUCUUCUUUUCCAUUAAUUAGUCCCUGCAGAUCCCUGAUGUAGCCCUUUUUCUUUCACAGCCUGCUCUGAGUUCAAUCUCAGCUGGCUUUUCUUGCCUAAACCACAUUCUUGAUUCACAAAAUAGCAAUAGUAAAGAUACAAUCUUUGUUAUUUUGGCUGACCAAUUGAUAAAGGGGUUUCAAGAAUUCUUGUUAAUAUGGCCUUUGCAGCUCAGCAGAAGAAGGCUAUUCAUUCCAUGUUAGCAAACAAGCUGACCCAUCUCAAAAUCCCUGACUCUUCUUCAUCAUCUCCUCCUUCUACUGAUCCAGAUUUUGAUUUUUCUGAUGUAUUUGGUGCUCCUACCUCUUCUUCAUCUCCUUCAUCUUCUUCCAGUUUUCUAACUGACCCACAAAUCAUUCAUAGUAGGUCCCACUCUUUUGUGGGUCCAUCUCCAAGGAUCACUCUCUCAAAGCCUCUGCCUUUUCACCAAGAAGUUGAUUCUGAGAGUGAAAGUGAUAGUGAUAAAGUUAAUACUCAUGUAGGUACUCACCAAACUGAAUGUACUGAUGGGGUUGAAGAGAUUAGUGGAGAUGAGGGGUUAGCUGUAACAAAAUUUGGGCCAGGGGAUUUUGAGAUCUUGAGGAUGAUUGGAAAAGGUUCUUUUGGGAAGGUUUUUCAGGUGAAGAUGAAGGGGUAUGGUGGUGAGGGUGAUGGGAUAUUAGCAAUGAAAGUGAUGAGGAAGGACACGGUAAUCAAGAAUAAGCAUGUGGAUUAUAUGAGAGCUGAGAGGGAUAUUCUCACUAAAGUUGAGCACCCUUUUAUUGUUCAGCUUAGAUACUCAUUUCAGGUAAUAGUUGCUUAUACUGGACUUGGUAAAUUUGUCUAUUCAGUUUCAGAUUAAUGGGUAUAUUUAUCUUAAAUGUAUACAUAAAUAGUCUUACUAUCCUGCUAUUGUUACCACCUAUGUCUUCAUAAAUGUUGUGUUUUUGCUUUCUUUGAGCCGAGUGUCUAUCGGAAAUAGCCUCUCUACCUACACUCACCCUCCCCUGACCCCACUCGUGGGACUAUACUGGUUCUGUUGUUGUUACUUGUUUUUCUUCUUAAUGUACAAGAACAAGAUAAUCUUUUGUAUUAGGAAUUAUUUGGUUUUAAGUCCGAAGCUAAAUUUAGUACUAUGGUAUUUGUCCUUUCAUGUAAUUUUCUGUUACAGAAGUACUUAAAAGGUGAGAGCUUUUCCUUGCCUCUCUCUGUGGGGAAAAGCUUUUCAUAGAAAGAGGAAACUCUUUUGGGAAUCUGUUUGAAUUCUGGUGUCACUCAUUCCUUCUUUUUUGAGCGGGGACAACAUGAGCAAGUUUUGAACUUUAUUAGUACUAGGAAUACUAUUUAACAUCAUUAAUGCUAAUGAAAUUAAUUUCAAGUGGAACUUCUGUUCUUUUUGUCUAGAAUCUAGUCAGAUUGCUGAAUAUUUGAUAGGAUAUUUUAGUAGAUUUAUUUAGACAAUUUCAGAGAAGUUCAUUAACUUUUUCUGUUGCGAUUUUCUUUUUUUAGUUUCCAUUAUUCUUUGCCUUUGAUGCAGAAUUGUCUUUGUUUCGGAAACAAUCUUUCUGAAGAUUUUUUUGGACAAUAUUUGUUUUGAACUGGUAACUUUUGUAUUAUAGACCAGUACUUAGGUAGUACUGGAAAACCCAUUUACAAAUUAAAGUAUGAGAACAAAGAUGCUAAGAAAAUUCAACCCUAACAUGAGUCUAAAACUUUUAGGAUUGAUCUGCAUCUUCAUGGGAGCUCUUUGUACACCAAAAAGAAAAUAGCAAAACACUGUUUCUGUAAAGUGCUACUUCUAGCCUCAAAUAGAAUUCCUUUCUUUCCAGAUUGCGCACCAUAUGCAAGCUGGAAUGAUCCUACGGUAGCUUCUAAUCGUUACCCCAAUCAGCCUUCUCUACAGCUAGAAAGAGUGUCAACAAUCUUGCUAGGCAUUGUCCAAGAUGAUUUUUUUUUUUUUGACAAUUUCAAAGUGAAGUUAAUGAUUUUUUAGAACUUUUGUUGGUUUUUUCUAUUUAGUUCCCAUAUUUCUCGAUGUCUUUUUAAAGCACAGAUUUUGUCUUUCUUUGGUGUACUCAUUGUCAUUGAUUUUGCUACUGUGAUUUGAUUUUCGAAAUCAUAUGCCUUACAGUCUCAGACCAAGCUUUCUUGCCCUAUGAUGUGUUUUUUCUUAUUAACAAUAUCAUUCCUGGGUCAUUUAUUUUGGAAUAUGCUGCAGACGAAGUCUAAGCUGUAUUUGAUUUUGGAUUUUAUAAAUGGAGGACAUCUUUUCUAUCAUCUAUACAGACAAGGGAUUUUCAGGUACCUUUGCAUUUCUUAUUGACUAACCAGUCAUGAUAUGCAUUCUGCUCUUCUAACUUCAGCUCUUGGGUGUGCUUUGGGUAGUGAGGACCAGGCAAGGAUUUAUGCUGCUGAGAUAGUUUCUGCUGUUUCACAUCUUCACCAGAGAGGGAUCGUGCAUCGAGACCUCAAACCUGAAAAUAUUCUCAUGGAUGGUGAUGGACAUGUAAUAGUCUUGCUGUACUCUACUGCAGGAACAUGAUUGAUGCAUGGAAGAAGAAAAGAAAUAAGAAAUACGUAGCAUUUUUCCUUUGAACAUUGCAGUUGAUUCAUUCCUCUUCUUAAGCAUUUCAUUUUCCACCCAGGUCAUGCUGACAGAUUUUGGACUGGCAAAAGAGAUUGAUGAAUCAAGCAGAUCUAAUUCAAUGUGUGGAACCAUGGAAUACAUGGCUCCGGAGAUUAUACAGUCCAAGGGCCACAAUAAAGAUGCUGACUGGUGGAGUGUUGGGGUACUUCUGUAUGAGAUGCUGACUGGUCAGGUAAUCUAAGUACUGGUUGGAACAUUUGUUUGCAGUGUAAUUUUAGGACACUAGAAUCAUGCAGUGUUGAGUAAUGCCAAAGCAUGUGACAAAGCAUAGACAGUUCAACGGACAUUCUCUGGAGCCUAUUUUAUGUGAAAUGUCCUAUAAAUUGCAUUAUUCCUAGACAGAUUUUCCUUUGUAAAUUAGAACACUUUUGACUCUCAUUUCUUUCAGCCACCUUUCACCCAUGCAAAUAGAAAGAAGCUUCAGGAAAAGAUCAUCAGCGAGAAACUGAAACUUCUACCACGUCUGACUGGUGAAGCUCACUCUCUGCUCAAAGGAGUAUGUACAAACUAUCAAUUGACUGCUUGCCCAUACUUUCUUAGAUAAGUGAUUGUAAUUCAACUGAAUGAAAACUUGCAAUUUUUUCCCGUAGUUGCUACAGAAGGACCCAUCCAAAAGAUUAGGCAGUGGACCAAGAGGAGGGGAUGAGAUCAAAAGUCACAAGUGGUUCCGCACAAUCAAUUGGAAGAAACUUGAUGCCAGAGAACUACAGCCUAAGUUCAAACCAGAUGUAAUUGGCAGAGAUUGCACUGCCAAUUUCGACAAAUGUUGGACUACAAUGCCACCGGAUGACUCACCAGCAUCUACUCCGACAACAGGCGAACACUUUCAAGGUUACACUUAUGUAGCACCAAAUCCUUGGCUCUCCUCUAGUUGAUUUAAGUCUUUAUCUUGACAAAAUUUCGAACUCUUAGUUUGCUAUUGUAAGUCAUUCUUUGUUAGAGAGAGGAUCAUGAGAAAUGUAUGGAUCAGAUUGUAUCAUGGUAAAAGCAAAUCUUUCUAACUCUUUUUGUGUACUGCUGUAAGUUCAUUCUUCUCUAUGGACAAGAUGUGAAUCAAUCAAUUGACUUUGAUUGUGUAGCCCUUUUCUUUACCUGCUCUUCUAUGCUUCCUCUUAACCUCAUCUAUUCGAUGCUCUCUGGAAAUUAUAAAUUCUUUUAUUAUUUUGUACUGCAAGAGAAUCUAAGAAUGUGUUCACACUUUUCACUCAUGUGAUGAUUUAGUCCCUAUAUUUCAAAUUCAAAUCAGUAUUGAAAAUUAAUCAAAGUUGUUCAGUAUUCAAGAACUCUAAAUGAUUAAUGAGAAAUAGCUGAAAUAAAACCAUUACAAAUAUGUACACUGGGGAGCUGAAAAGAGAGGAUGUUCCAGGGCUUUGUUGCAUUCUAGAGAAUAGAAAAUGCUAAUGAGUUCUGCAUAUGGUUCAACAAUUUAAUAGAGGAGCAAAUUGAGGGUAGUGUUGGUGCAUUAGUGGAGUAUAUGAGUAGAUAUCCUUCAGGGGAAUGAAUUGGCUUUUGAUUUUUCUCCUUAUAUGUUUCCUUUGAUUGUGGAUGUCUGUGGGAGGGUCUGCCUGAUUGUUUUACAGGCUUGCACAAUCUUAUGCGGUAGUAGUUGAGAAAAGUAGAAGAAGGCGUAUUCUCAACUACUAGUUCUAGAAACUAUUGCGACAUCAAAUGAGUCAACUAGAAAAAUUGCAUUCAAUUUUGUGAUGAGUAAUGUAGUGCUCUUUUGAACUAUGUUAGGGCAUAACUCUAGUCAUUUUUAUUUAUAUGAAUGAAUAGAUGAGUGUCAUUCUAAUAAAUGGAAAUGUUAAAGUUGUCUAUAGUUAUUAGGUAGUAUGAAAUUUUGAAAGAUGGCUUUUUCUUUUAUUUCUUCUGCCUGAAUAUCAGAUACACUCUCUUUGUACCUUGUCCGUUACUGAUUCUGCUUACUAUUUCAGUAUGUGCAAAUUAUCAUCUUUCGCUAUUUAUAGCUCAAGAAAUGCUAUACAUCUCGCUUGUAUUUGACCAAGCUCCUCCAGCAUUUUGUUUUUGCUCUCUUUCCUCGAGUUAAUACCAACUAUAACAUGAAUAAAUAAACUGAUCAAACUUCUGUAUUAGACUUUGCAAGAGUUUUUUGUACUUCCAUGUGAAUUAUUUCCCUUGGAACCUGAGACUGUCAUUAAGUAGGUUUUUGAAAGGAAGAACUGAACACAUGCCAAAAUAAGCAUCCAUAGAUCUACCUUCCUAUACUAUGGUGUUUAUCUUGGAAAUGAACUGUUAACAGUUGAGGGAUGUGACGUUUUUUUCUGUUAACAACAGUGUAGAGUUAUCUCAAAUUGGUGAGAUGUUUAAUGGUAUCACUCCGGAAAGGGAUGAAAUAUGACAUGGUUAUUAAAAUAUGAACCAUAUAACCAUGUGGAGCAAAAGUUUUGUCGUUAUAUAAGUUCGAUCUGCUCCUUUCCAAAAUAUGCUGGCUUCAGUGUACUUCUAUAAGGCACACUUGUGAACUGUCAUUUGAAUGGUUUCAGUACAUAUCCAUUAUCUAGAUAUUGUGGAAAAAGUUGCAUAAAGGUUGGAAUCAGUGGAAGAGCACUGGUGAGUGGUGACUACUUAAUGAAACUUAAAUAAAUUAUAGCUUCAUAUGGUAUAUGGAAAGUAGAAAGGCAUCUCAUUCCAGUUACUUUUAAGUGGAUAAGUUAGUUUGUGCUCAUUAACAACCACCUGGUUUGUUGUGUGUGCGUGGGGGGGAGGGGGGGUGNNNNNNNNNNNNNNNNNNNNNNNNNNNNNNNNNNNNNNNNNNNNNNNNNNNNNNNNNNNNNNNNNNNNNNNNNNNNNNNNNNNNNNNNNNNNNNNNNNNNNNNNNNNNNNNNNNNNNNNNNNNNNNNNNNNNNNNNNNNNNNNNNNNNNNNNNNNNNNNNNNNNNNNNNNNNNNNNNNNNNNNNNNNNNNNNNNNNNNNNNNNNNNNNNNNNNNNNNNNNNNNNNNNNNNNNNNNNNNNNNNNNNNNNNNNNNNNNNNNNNNNNNNNNNNNNNNNNNNNNNNNNNNNNNNNNNNNNNNNNNNNNNNNNNNNNNNNNNNNNNNNNNNNNNNNNNNNNNNNNNNNNNNNNNNNNNNNNNNNNNNNNNNNNNNNNNNNNNNNNNNNNNNNNNNNNNNNNNNNNNNNNNNNNNNNNNNNNNNNNNNNNNNNNNNNNNNNNNNNNNNNNNNNNNNNNNNNNNNNNNNNNNNNNNNNNNNNNNNNNNNNNNNNNNNNNNNNNNNNNNNNNNNNNNNNNNNNNNNNNNNNNNNNNNNNNNNNNNNNNNNNNNNNNNNNNNNNNNNNNNNNNNNNNNNNNNNNNNNNNNNNNNNNNNNNNNNNNNNNNNNNNNNNNNNNNNNNNNNNNNNNNNNNNNNNNNNNNNNNNNNNNNNNNNNNNNNNNNNNNNNNNNNNNNNNNNNNNNNNNNNNNNNNNNNNNNNNNNNNNNNNNNNNNNNNNNNNNNNNNNNNNNNNNNNNNNNNNNNNNNNNNNNNNNNNNNNNNNNNNNNNNNNNNNNNNNNNNNNNNNNNNNNNNNNNNNNNNNNNNNNNNNNNNNNNNNNNNNNNNNNNNNNNNNNNNNNNNNNNNNNNNNNNNNNNNNNNNNNNNNNNNNNNNNNNNNNNNNNNNNNNNNNNNNNNNNNNNNNNNNNNNNNNNNNNNNNNNNNNNNNNNNNNNNNNNNNNNNNNNNNNNNNNNNNNNNNNNNNNNNNNNNNNNNNNNNNNNNNNNNNNNNNNNNNNNNNNNNNNNNNNNNNNNNNNNNNNNNNNNNNNNNNNNNNNNNNNNNNNNNNNNNNNNNNNNNNNNNNNNNNNNNNNNNNNNNNNNNNNNNNNNNNNNNNNNNNNNNNNNNNNNNNNNNNNNNNNNNNNNNNNNNNNNNNNNNNNNNNNNNNNNNNNNNNNNNNNNNNNNNNNNNNNNNNNNNNNNNNNNNNNNNNNNNNNNNNNNNNNNNNNNNNNNNNNNNNNNNNNNNNNNNNNNNNNNNNNNNNNNNNNNNNNNNNNNNNNNNNNNNNNNNNNNNNNNNNNNNNNNNNNNNNNNNNNNNNNNNNNNNNNNNNNNNNNNNNNNNNNNNNNNNNNNNNNNNUUAAUCACGUGGAUAGCUUAUAUGAUCAUCAGAUAUUGUUUCUUUAAGGGUUAGCUCUUGUCACUGUGUCUCAAAAGUCUAUUAUUGCUUAUAGAUACCAGAUAGGCAAGCAGCAUAUAUUCCUUUUAUUCUUCUGAGUUCCAUUUGGACACAUAGAAAAUAGAGAAAACAUCUUAUUGCAUGAAUGGGAAAAGGAUUUAGCACUAAUAAAGUUACUGUUAGGAUGGAUGAAACUUAAGGGAGAUUCCUGUCUUUUUUUUUAACAACACAAAUGAGUAAUCAGCUGAGGUUAUACUCUACUACCCUACAAUGCUUUAGAAGCAAGUUUCUUUAGCUUUAUACUUAUAUAUAUAUAUAUAUAUAUCCAUCGUCGUUGGCUUGUCAUAUAUGUAAUCACCUUCUCUGUUCUUGAAAGUAUUUUGGCAGUUAAGAAUUUGUAGCAUUUGCCAUGAAGAACAAAAGCAGAAGCAACAACUCCCUCUGUGAGAAGUCAAUGAAGAUGGUAACAAAUGUCAUCCGGCUAUCGUCAUUCUCUAUUGCCAGGAUGAGCCUUGGAAUCGCAACAGAACCAGCACCAGGCGGUAAAAUUCCUGCAUCAUACCCUGCAACAUUCAUCAAAGGCUCACCAACAGCACAAUUCCCUGAGAGCUUAAGGUCACAGGAGCCAGUGAACGUCAAAAAACCGACUGCCUACCUUAUUGAGCCAACUGAAAAUGGUAAAUCCUCCUUGUAUGCAGUUAAUGAUAAGAGUGUAGAUGGUAGGGCCUCUGAUUACAUUAGAAGAGUGCAUGAGAAGAAUCGUCAUGAUUCAAACGAGGCAAUGAAACUUUCUGCAUUCAUCAUUCCACCUCCACCUCGUUUCGUGUAGUCAUAUUUUGUACUACUAACCAUGUGUUUAUUUCCAUCUUCUACUAUUUCGCGUAGCAUAAUUGUCUUCAUCUAUCUUGGAUAAUAUGCUUUGCUUCUCUUGAGAACAAGCUUAUGAUUAGUGCCAUAGUGAUGAAAAAUCUUCUCCUUCUGUCACUUUGGGCUUUGUCUACUGAAGGCUUUUGUUCAUAAGAAGCUUGCAUCUUGAUAUUGAUCUUCUGUCUGUCAUAUAAUCAAUUAAAUCAAAUUAGUUGGAGUUUGUUAUAUGAAUCAUAUCCAUUUUAUUCAAGCAUAUCUCAUUCUGAUAUUAAACAAGUUGUCUUUUAGGUGAAUUAAGGUUUCUCCAAAACUAUAAAUUUCUAUUUUCCUGCACUUAUUUUGUUAUUUACAUACUAUAAGUUUCUACAUGGAAUAUUAAGACUCCAAAAAGUUGGUUUUGCUUAUAUAGAUCCUACUGUGUUAUGUUUUUAGCUAUGUUAUUCUUGCACUUAUGACAUGGAGGUCUAUGUAGAAUAUGACCAAACCAGGAUAUAACAGUGUAGUAUCAAUUAAGAUGGGGUCGGUUCUUGAUUAACAUCCUUUAGACUCUAUCGUAUGUGACCUUAUCUUAGUUUUCCUCUAUGUGUGCUAUUUGCAACGCCUGUCAUAUAUAACCAAUAUCUUUAAUAUUACGCGUUCAUCUUCAACUUGUUGGGACUUAAAGACCUAUUUCCAAAAAUGUUUUUGCUCUCUUAACAAUCACUUUUUUAGGUAUCUUUCUAACGUAUAACUUAGAUAUUUGUAUUGUAUGCAGUUCACCAAAAUCCUGUAAAUUCUUGUGGGAUGAUGUGUUCUUACUUUUAUUUAGUCGGUAACUAUUCCUUCGUAUUUAAUCCGAGAUGGAAAAUAAUAUUAUCUUUUAUAAAAAGCACAUUACCCAAGUAAAUAAAAGUUUCCUUAGAGGGAAUAAAUGCAUAUAUGUGGUCAAGUGGCAAGAGAAUAUUGUUGAAGAAAAAAUGGGAAUAUCUUUCUUUCACUCUACAAAUCCUCACCUUAUCUGUUGGUCUCAAAUAGAGAACCUUAUUUAUUGCGUGUAAACGUGACGAUCUGUAAUUCACCCUUGCCAAUAUUUAAAUGCAUUUCCAUAACAAAGCAUUUUUUUUUAAUAAUGAUGGUAUCCGAGUUAACUUGUACUCAUGACAUAUGAUUUUUCUAUUAGUGUAAAUAUUGAAUAACUAUAUGCUUCAAAUUUUAAAUAAAUAAAAAUCAAUCACCUGAUUUUAUUUUUUUUAUUUUUUAGUUUUGUGUGUAAUUUGAAUUUCUGAUCUAAUAUGAUCACCAUUUCCAGCUUCAUUGACCACAAAUGCACAAAGAAAACACAUAUUUGAGUGCGGGGACCAAUAAUACUGGAACCACUACUCAAAAGAUUUAUUUGUUUGCUUGUUUAUUUAUCGUUACCAAAAUAUUUCAACUUUGACCUAUUUUUAUUUUUAUUUUCAUUAUCAACGAUCAAUAAUUGAUGACACUCAUAAGCAGCAUUGCCAACUUAAUAGUACUGGUGUUUCAACUCAUUUGACAAUAAGUACAAAAAAGGUUCUAUCGUGUCUACUCUUCUUUUAGGAGUGUAUUCGAUCAAUUAUUUUAGAAAAAUGUAUAUCAAAUUGGUUUUUAAAUUACUCUAUCAUGUCUAAUCAAAAUUAAUCCCUCCGUUUAAAAAAGAAUGACCUCUUUUCUUUUUUGGUAACAUUUUAAUUUCAGUUUUUCACCUGGCAUGUUUAAGGCUAUACAUAAAAAGGGCAAUUUUAUACAUUUGACAUAAUUUUAAUUUAGGACCACAAGAUUCAGAAAUCUUCUUUACUUUCUUAAACUCCAUGUCAAAUCAAACUGGACCAUUCUUUUUAAAACGGAUGGAGUAAUUUUUUUUGAAAACGUGUCAAUCUAUAAUAUCGUUAAAAAUUAUGUAAUGACCUGUCCCAUAAGGAUCGAUUUCCAUCCCCGUUUUAGGCAAAACUAUUGGCAGCCCUAGAAUACAGUAGGAAUCAAGAAAAUCAUAUAAUUGUUGCCUAACACAUGCACGACACUCUAACCCAAUCAGGAUUUUGGAUAACGUUAUCACAUGGCCAGUUCAUACAACCACAUACAUAUAUCUAUAGCCUAUAGGACCACGAACAUACAUAUAUCUAUAGCCUAUAGGACCACGAGAAAAAAUCAUUUUGGCCAGAAAAUUUUGAGCAUAUUUACACUAUAAACAGGUUUACUUUUUGAUAUUUUUAUUCUUAUUUAAAUUUAAAUUUAAAUUUAUUAAUUAUUUUUUAAUACAUGAAAAGUUUCCCAAUACAUGGGGAAUAAACUUGUUCCCGGAUUCUCAUAAUUUCCAUAAAUACAUGUUAAUUUCAAUUUCUUUUAAAAAGGCAACAAAAUGAUUGCCUUAGUAAUUUCUUUUCUUCCCUCUACUUUCCAAUAUAAAUUAUAAAGAACACAAAUUUAAAAUUUACAAUUAAGAAAUAAAAUUUAAAAUUUAAAUGGCAAGAUAAACACUAAUAAUAUUAAAUUUAAAAUAAAUUUAUCUCACACUCAAUUCAAAUUCAAGAUUCAUAAAAUAACUUAACAAGUAAAAUUAUUAAUCAAAAGUGUCAUAUAUACUGGCCAUUUAUAUACUACUACUACUACUACUAAUAAUAAUAAUAAAUUAUAUUUCUCAACUUUGUGAUUUAGAGAUAAUAUAUUUUUUGUUAAAAGAAAGUGGCUCACAUCUAUUUCAAUUGUUACAUAUAUAUUACCAAAAAAAAAAAAUUAUUACAUAUAUAACUUUGAUAUAGCUAAAAUCUUUUUUAGCUGACGGAAGUGAAAAAAUUGAUUCAAAAUUAUUUCUGAUAAAAUAAAAAUUACACAAGGUAUGUUUGACCCUUCUCGCAAUAUUUUGAGGUAUGUUUGAAGAGCUAAGAUCAUUUUUGGCUGACGGGAGUGAAAAACUUAUUAAAUUUUUUUAACAAAAUAAAAAUACAAAAGGUAUAUUUGACCCUUCUCGCAAUAUUUCGAGGUAUAUUUGAUCAUCUUCGUACAUGAAUUUUUAUCCUUUUUUUUUAUCUUCUUUAAUUCAAUGACUAAUUUUGAUUUACUAUGUUGAUGAUCAAAUUUAAUUUUUCACUCAUCUUAUUGCAAAGUCUAUUAUAGAUGCAUCAACAUUUUUUACAACUAAAAAAUAAAAUUCAAUAUAACCGCAAAAAAAUUAAUUUUAGUUUGCUUUUUUUAAAAAAAAAAUCAUUUUAUUUUCGUUCACUAUUUCUUUUUAUUUCUCAUGUUUUCCACACUAAAGAAUGAAAGCGAAAAAUUAAAUAGGAACAACAAACUCAAAUAAUGAUAAACAAAUAUAUUCAUGAGGGAGAUAAUUAAGACACAAAUUAACCGUUGAAUUAAAAAAACUCAAAAAUAAAAUCACGUGAAAAAACUAUCCGAUUUACCUCUAUAUGAAUAAUGUUUGAUUAAAUAACUAAAAUAAAUAAAUUAAAAAUCCAAAUUUUAACUUUCGUUAGUCAAAAGUGGAUAUAUGAGUUAUUUAAUUUGCACAUGUAACAGUAAAAGUAUAUGUGACAUUUUUUUUUACGAAAUAUAUAUUAUAUCUAUAUCACAGAAUUAAGAAGUACAUCAAAUCUUUUUCUCCUAAUAAUAAUUCAACAUAAUCUGCACAAUAUUAUUAUUAUGAAGAUCAAACAAACAAUGUGGUAUAGUAAUGAAGUCUAAAAAAUAGUUUGAACCUUAUUUGAUUAUUCUAUAUCAAUGUUAGUAUUAUAUUAAAAAGAGAGUAGUCAAUCUUGAUAUUAAGACAAUUAUAUUAUAAGAACUGACUUUCGUAAUUCAAGACAUCACUACAAAAAAUGCAUUAUUAUUAAUAGUUAUUUAAAAUAUCUAAGUCCCAAAAUUAUAUUAUUAUUUUUCUGAAAGAAAAACACACACGAUGUAUGAACGAUUAAUUAAUUAAUGAAGAACCGUAUUAAUCAUUAUCAUUCAAUUGUAAAUUUCAAAAUCCACAUUUAAUUUACUAAAGUAUAUUGUAUAUUGCUGAGAAUUUCCGAGAAUAACGUGUUAAUGUUAAUUAUAGUAUUGAACCAACACCAUAUUACGUCAAUUUGAUAACUUAUAGAUCAUUACUCAUAUUUGUUAUUAAUAUAUUAAUAUAACGUAUUAAAGAUAUCUAUAUUCAUUGUGAUUUUCAAUGGAAAACUACUUUCCCUUUACUUAAUGAUACUAGCAGGGGUUUUGUUUGAUGUUAUAAAUAAGAGUAGCAUUAAAUAGGUACCACAAAGCAUGACAUAUUUCUGGUCUGUACAAAUCAGGACCAAAAGUGUAGUCAAUUAAUCACCACAUGGAUAUCAUAAACUUUUCCUCAAUAUAUAAGAUUAAUAUAAUUAUGAACCCAGCUUACUCACUCUUGUCCUAGUUUUUUCUUCUUCUUUUUUUCUCAAGAGAUCCUUUGAUCUCAUGCCACACGGAUGAUGCUUUCUCCAUUACUGAAACUUGACAUCACGUUAUAUGCCGAGUGUCUAGUAGAUGAUGCUUGUCCCUGAUCAAGUGACAAUGAUAAUCUCAGUGACAAAGACGAUGGCUCAAUUGUUGAGUUGUGGUUGGCGUUAAGGUCAAUUGCUGUUGAUGGAUUAGGCAUUGAAAACAUAGGAACAGGACCAACUAGCAUCGGUGAAUUCCCAUGAUCAUGUCGCAACAGAGUUGGAUACUCUCUUGACUUGUCAAUCUGUACUGGAAAUAUGAUAGGACCAACAGUUGGUGCCACCGGAAAUGCAUUGGUUUUGGUAGUUGGUAAUGUUGCUGGUGCUACAACUGGGAUUUCUUGCUUAUUUUCCACCUCUUCUAUUGGCAUUACUGAUACCUGUUUGUCAAAGAAAGAGAACCUUAGAAAUGGAUAUCCAUCCAAGUGGCAAAGAUUUCAGUUUGUAUUCAAUAUUUUUAUCUUUUCCACAAGGCAAGUAUAAACAAAGAACUUGACACCAAUGAAAAAGAAUCUUUUAGAGAAAAGACACAAAAGAAUAACAACAAAACCCAGCACCAAUAUCAAUUCAAAACAAGAAAAACGAACGAAUCAAAUUACAACUCCUUCUGUUAAAGAGUGAUAAGAUCGAAGUACUAAAAUCAAGCCAUCUAAUUUUCUAUCUCUAUACACAAUCACUUACCACCUACUCAAAUGAACUUCACUAAUACAUGGCAAAAUGAGAGAAAAUAUAAUCAUAGUAAUUAAAAGUUGCUCGAGUAAUAAUAAGGGUGAGAAACAAGUUUGAUAAAUGGAAGACGUGAAGAAAAAAUAAAUACCGAGUCAGUGGUGAUAUCAAAGAGGCUAGAUCGACGGCGGCGACGGUUGAGGUUGCUUCGCCGGAGGAAGUAUUUCUGAGCAUGACUUGCAACCUGAGUCGGUGUGCGAGUCUUUACGAAGUUACGAGAGAUUCCUCUCCAGUCUCCUUUUCCCACUUUCUGCAAUCCUAAAAGGAAUAACUUAUGCUCUUCCUCUGUCCACGGAACUCCUAAUACAAACAAAAUCAACGCUACUUCAUCAGAAAUCAAUUUCUAUGGAUUCAAAGCUUAGCAGGUUGGAUCAAAACCAUAUUUAUGGUCCUGAAAUCUAGACAGAGGGAAAACGAGUUCCCUUUUACAGAAUCUAAUCUUUUUUUAGGAAUUCGAUCAUCAUUUAUGAAACUAAUUUCAAACAAUUACAUAUAAAUCACAUGAUUAAACUAUGAAUUUGACUCUGUACAAAACAAAUUAGGAUAGAAGAGUAUAACUCAAAAAUUUGUGCAUAACAGAGAAAACGAUCGAUGAAUCUAAUAGAAACUUGACUCAGAGGAGACAUUAAUUGACUAAUCACUGACAGAAAUAACCGAAUCGAAUGUAAAAUGAAGACUAUCAUAAAAACACGGCGAAUAGCAACAAAAAUAGAAGAGGAUCGGAGAUCUCACCUCUCUUACGCUCGCGACCACUGUUGGACUGAUGUUGAACAGCGUCAUCUGCAGAGGCAUAACCUUCAUCCUGAGCCACUUUAGAGGAUUCAUUGUUAUCACCGCCGUUGUUGUUGUUGUUAGCAUUCGGUUGCUCGUACUGUGAAAGAUCGUUUAGACUCACGCUCUUCCUCAUAGGAUCCACUUUUACUCUCACACCAAACAACAUGAUUUCUCCUCCAAAACCGCCGCCGGUAACUGCCGGCGUCGACGACGACUUAUCGCUGUAAACGCUCGACAUCGUUCUGGAAGUUUCCACGAAUCAAUAAAAAAUCAAUUGAUACAAAGUGGUGAUGACUAAACAUACACUCCGUCAAACGGAAACCGUACACACCUAUUGAAAUUGAAAUUGAAAGGAAGAAAGAAGCGAAUAAAGCGGAACGGAGAGUGUAUAGAGAUGUGGAAAUAUAUAGAGGGGGUGAGAUGGUGAUAAGGACCACAUGAUGAUAAUAAUAAUAAUAAUUAAAAAAUAAUAAUAUUUGUAUCGUAUUGUAUCCUACUCUAUUGUCUCAAUGAAAAUAUUAUUUAGAUAGAUUAUAUCGUCAUGUGAUAAACCUAUCAAAAAAGUAAGAUAUGAGUAGAGCUACUGUGAAAAAGUAGAAUAAAAGAUGAAAUAUGAUUAUUAAAUAAUAUAUAAAUACAAAAAUGAAAAAAUAAAUAUUAAGAUAACGAUGUUAAGUAACAACCAAAACAAAUAAAGUAUUGUAUUUAAACUAACGACACAAUAUAAUGUAGAAAAAUGACGAAUAUAUCCCGAACUAUCGUAAAUGGUAUGCAUAUAUCCUCCGUCAUAAUUUUGGGAUAUUGAUGCCCCUGCCAUCCAAAAAAUAGAGUGUAUAUGUCCUUCACUCUAACGGAAGACUAAAUAGGGACACAUGGCGCAAUCUUAUCCGUCGAUCCAAUAUUUAAUAAAUGUUGAUUGAUAGAUAAGAUUAUGACACGUGUAUGUCCGUUAGUAUAAAGGGUAUAUAUGAUCUAGUUUUUGGACGACAUGGAUACCAAUGUCCCAAAAAUAUGAUGAAUGAUAUCUGCAUACCAUUUACGAUAAUUCGGGAUAUAUUUAUCAUAUUUCCCUAUAUAAUGUAAUACAACGGAUAACAUUCUCCCCCAUUAAUAAGUAUUGAAAGUUGAGAGUAACACGUGGCAAUAAUUUAACGGUUUAUCCGAAUCUUCGGUGGAGCUGAGUCUGAUUUUUACGGGAAGUUUCAACCAACUCAUAUAGAAUAGAGGGGCAUACCAUUUUUUAUGUGGAUGGGCCUAUCCACUUACUCAAUUUCCAUUUAUUUUUUUUUAUAUUCAAUGUUGAUAUUAGGGGUGUACAAACCGAACCAUAAAGUCAAACCGAACCGAUGAACCAAGUCAAACCGAGAAAAAAAACCGACUUAUGGUUUGGUUUGAUUGGUUUGGCGUUGAAAAAAAAAAACCGACCAUUCUUGGUUUGGUUUGGUAUUAAUAAAAAAAAAGUCAAACCGAAUCCAACCCAAACCGACAUAAUACAUAUAUAAUUUUAACUUUUUAUACAUAAAAAUAUUUAUAUAAUCUAUUUUAUAAAUAUUUUAAAUUUAGUUUUAUUAAUUUUCAAUAUGUACAAAUUAGAUAUAUAUUCAGAUUUGAGCUUAUAACUUGUAAUUGGUGAAAUGAUCCAUCAAUUGGUGAAAUGAUCCAAGCCCAAUAUAAACCUAAAAGUUAAAACUCUAGAAACUAGUCAUAUUCUCAUUUCUCACUAUCCACUUUGCAAUCUUUCCACUUUCCCUAGAGCUGCUCAAUCUUCAUCUGCUCAUUCUUCUCAUUCAUCUGCUUGUCUAUAGAUAGUCAGGUAUGUUUUUCUUUUUCUUUUUCUUGCAAAUGUAAAUUUAUCAAUGAAGUUCGUCACUUACUUUUUCUUGCAAAUGAGUAACUUUAUUUUGAAUCGUUGUUGGCUGCUGCUACAAGUCUUAAUUUUUUGUGUUUUGCUUCCUUAGAUGGAGAAUACGGCUGGAACUGAUGUAGAAAUGAUAAUCGACAGUCCUCCGGUUGUAUCAAUACCUCAAAAGAAAGGUAAAAGCACUCCUCAUCUCCGCACUCCUCCUAAAAAGCAAAAAAGAACAACCCCAAUAGAUUCCAUUCCUACAGAUGGUAAUACUGGGAGAGAAACGUCACAAAUUUGGGAUCACUUUGCUAAAUUUAUUGCUAAAGGAGGUAAACGAAGAGCAAAAUGUAACUAUUGUGUAAAACACUUUGCUGCUGAGACAAAAACAAAUGGAACCUCUGUAUUGUGGUCACAUUUAAAUGACAAAUGUCUCAAAUCUCCCUUUAGAUUUGUUGAUAGAAGGCAAACAACUUUGAAAGCUGUACCAAUCAAAGUAGGGGGACAAGAAAAUGGAACAAGUUCUAUAGAAAAGGUUGUGUACAAUGUGGAGGAUAUCAGGAGGGCCAUCGCUGAAUUUGUCAUUAUUGAUGAACAACCAUUUAAAGUUGUUGAAGGGGAAGGUUUUAAAAAAUUGAUGGCCAAAGCUUUGCCUAAUUUUGAAUUACCUUCACGGGUAACUGUGGCUAGACAUUGUUUGAAGAUCUAUCAAGAAGAGAAAGAGAAGCUUAAAAAACUUGUCAAGAAUCAACACAUAUGUAUUACUAGUGAUACAUGGACAUCACUUCAAAAUUUGACUUAUAUGGUCGUGACUGCUCAUUGGAUUGAUGAUGAAUGGAACUUACAGAAAAAGAUUCUUAAUUUUUUCCAAACUCCGGAUCACAAGGGUGAGACUAUGACACUAACAUGAUGGGUGAAGUUGAUGAUAUAUUGCAUUCUCAAUGGGAGAAACAUUUAGAAGAUGAGGAAAACAUUGGAAAAAAAUCUGAGCUUGAUCAAUAUUUGAUGGAUAAUGUAGAGAAGCCAAAAGAUUUUAAUAUCUUGACUUGGUGGAAAGCUUCAUCGAAUAGAUAUCCAACUAUUUCAAAAAUGGCAAGGGAUGUUCUUUCUAUUCCCGUGUCCACUGUUGCAUCUGAAUCAGCCUUCAGUACAGGUGGUCGUAUUCUUGAUUCAUAUCGGAGCUCUUUAUCACCAAAGACAGUAGAAGCUCUUAUUUGCACUCAACAAUGGAUACGGUCACCUUCUAAAGAAUGGAAGGUUCAAAGAUUAUUUGGACGAAGUUCAAAAAAUUGAAGAAGUUGAAAAAGGUAAUUUACUAAUUUAAUUCUUAAUUCUCCAUCUUUGAUAUUAAUUUUCUACUUUGAAAACAACUUUAUGCUAGUUGCUAUCUAACAAAGUUGAGUUGACAAAUGACUCAAUAUCUAAUUACUCAUUUAUGUGCUAAUAAUUCUUUUCCUUACAGAAUGUCCAGGUGCUCCUUUGAGUAUCGAUUAGUUUAAUGAAGUAGCUUUUUGCAAAUCUUUUGAUAUAUAGGUAUUUCCUUUCCCUUUAUUGAAAUAGCGUUUUACAGUUCUUUAUUAUCUAACAAAGUUAAUUUUACAAGUCUAGUUACUCGUUCACGUGCUGAUAAUUUUCUUUCUUUCAGAAUGUAUGUCUAGGUGACCUUUUGAGUAUAUAUUAGUUUGGAUGAAGAAAAUAUGCAGCUGGAUCUUGGUAGUUGAAGAUUAUUGGAGUAGUUUUGCAAUUCUUUUGUUGGGUUUUUAAGAGAAUAUUUUACAAACAUUAUGUGAAGUUCUGUGUUUUUAAUUUUCAAUGUUAAAUAGACUUAUUUUUUAUAAGAUAUUUGCUCUUGUUGAUCAUGUGAGGAUCUUGAUAAUCAAAAUUUGUAGAAAUCAGAUUGAAAUGAAAUGGUUAUUGAGCAGUUGUCAGGUGGCGUUUCUCUUCGUAUCUUCUUCUAUCUCGAUGUGUUGUCUUCUGAUGUUAUAAAAUCCUCAUUCUCUAGUUGUUUGCUUUAGUUUUCUGUUAGGUUGAUGAUGUCUUAGCGUGAUGGGUAUUGUAACACAUAUCUGUCAAACAAAUAUGUAAGCAAUUCUUGUAGAAUAAAGGCAAUUCUUGUAGAUAAGUGUAAGCAAAUAUGUAAUCAAAGAGUUUAAGUAAUUAUGUAAUUAUGUAAUCAAAGAGUUGAUUACAUAUUUGAGUUGACCUAUUUGGUGAGGAAACUGAAGAGGAAAAGAAGGCUGCUGAAGAACGUGCUGCAGCAUUGAAGGCUUCAGGGAAGAAGAAAGAAUCUGGUUUGACAGAUGUGUGUUACAGAUGAAAUGAUUUUGUUUGACAAUAUUUGCUUGGUCUGUGUUGAAUUGGCCAGAAAGCAAAUAGUUGUCCAAAUGUAGAAUAAAGGCAAUUCUUGUACUAAAAACACCUCUAGCUUGUACAAAAUGAAGAUGGAUAGAUGAAUAUUGGCUUCUCCUAUUGUAAAACCUAAACACUCUUUAAAAAAACCGAUAAAACCGAAAGAACCGAAUAAAACCGAAAGAACCGAAUAAAACCGAAAGAACCGAAUAAAACCGAAAGAACCGAAUAAAACCGAAAGAACCGAAUAAAACCGAAAGAACCGAAUAAAACCGAAAGAACCGAAUAAAACCGAAAGAACCGAAUAAAACCGAAAGAACCGAAUAAAACCGAAAGAACCGAAUAAAACCGAAAGAACCGAAUAAAACCGAAAGAACCGAAUAAAACCGAAAGAACCGAAUAAAACCGAAAGAACCGAAUAAAACCGAAAGAACCGAAUAAAACCGAAAGAACCGAAUAAAACCGAAAGAACCGAAUAAAACCGAAAGAACCGAAUAAAACCGAAAGAACCGAAUAAAACCGAAAGAACCGAAUAAAACCGAAAGAACCGAAUAAAACCGAAAGAACCGAAUAAAACCGAAAGAACCGAAUAAAACCGAAAGAACCGAAUAAAACCGAAAGAACCGAAUAAAACCGAAAGAACCGAAUAAAACCGAAAGAACCGAAUAAAACCGAAAGAACCGAAUAAAACCGAAAGAACCGAAUAAAACCGAAAGAACCGAAUAAAACCGAAAGAACCGAAUAAAACCGAAAGAACCGAAUAAAACCGAAAGAACCGAAUAAAACCGAAAGAACCGAAUAAAACCGAAAGAACCGAAUAAAACCGAAAGAACCGAAUAAAACCGAAAGAACCGAAUAAAACCGAAAGAACCGAAUAAAACCGAAAGAACCGAAUAAAACCGAAAGAACCGAAUAAAACCGAAAGAACCGAAUAAAACCGAAAGAACCGAAUAAAACCGAAAGAACCGAAUAAAACCGAAAGAACCGAAUAAAACCGAAAGAACCGAAUAAAACCGAAAGAACCGAAUAAAACCGAAAGAACCGAAUAAAACCGAAAGAACCGAAUAAAACCGAAACCGAAAAAACCGAUUUAUAUUGGUUUGAUUUGGUUUAUAAACUUAAUAAACCGACAUAAUUGGUUUGGUUUUUUUUUGAUAAAAAACCAAACCAACCCGACCUAUGUACACCCCUAGUUGAUAUCUCCACUAUAUCUACUUUUUUUUCAUCUUAAAAUUAUUCUUAAAAAUAUAUACUUUUAUGAACUUUGUCAAAUAAGUAGAACUCGAUUUACGUAAAAUAUUAAUAAUGUCAUUAAAUAUUUAUUAAUAAAAUUAACUAAAAAGAAAAAUAUGACAUAUAAAUAUGAAAAAAGAAAGUAACAUUUUUAAUUUCUUCUUAUUGAGCUCUCACGACAUAAGUGAAUAAUAUUCUAGUGGUACUCUUUUUUUCGAAACUAAUUUCACGAGAUAUUUAUCACUUUUUACCAGUAAUAAGUAUCAAAUAACUCUAUUCACCAAAACUAAAAUAGAUGAGAAGAAAUCAGAUAGUAGUAUUUUUGUUUGUACUAAAAAAUUUGAACUUAGAACAUCAUAAUUCAUAGUUCCUCCUAAUUUGAUUGAAGUAUAUACUCCUUGUGUCUCAUACUAGUUAAUCAUCUUACUAAAAAUAGUUAUCUCAUAUUAGUUGAUCAUCUUACUAAAUCAAGAAAAUAUUAAUUAAAAUUUUCAUAUUAUACCCUUGCAAUUAAAUUUUUUUGAAAGUGUAUUUAUAUUUGUAAAAUUCCCGAGAAGUUUUUUAAGGAGUGAAUUAGUAAAAUUAUCUUCUUAUUUUAUGAUUUCUUAAUAUAUAUGUAAAAAGGAAAAAUGAUCAACUAGUAUGGAACGAAAGGCAUACAUUUUAUUUCUAAAAAACUUGGAAAUUUAAGUAUUGUAUUCAGGGGCGGAGCCAGCAUACGAACCUCCUUUGGCAGAAAAUAUUACUAUUUAUACAUUAAAAUUUUGUUAUGUAUAUAUAUCUAUUAGUAGAUGUCGAAAUCCUCUUUGAUUAGUUUAUGUAUUUACUUCUUCAAAUUUUGAACACCCUUAUUAAUAAUCCUAACUUCACCACUGACCGUAUUAAUACUGAAAUCUAAGUAAUUUAAUUUGCAUAUUUAGCUAAGAUAAUUGAAGUGAUCAAGUUUUGACUUUGUGGGCACUUGUCUUGUCGGACUUUUGUUUUGGGAAAGAGAUUACUCCUAAUUAACAUCAUUUUUUAUUUGUCAGACACGUAUUUGUUUGGACGCAAAUUGCAAUAACCAGCACGAGAAAAUAAUGAAUUCUAAGCAUAAAAUUUUAUUUACCGAUUCAAAAUUUAAAUUUUUUAUAUAAAUAAAAAAAUUAUACUCUAAUUAUUUGAAAAAUAUAUUUAAAUAAUUCAUCCUUUAUUUGCGAUUCAAAAGAUUGAAGCUCACUUUAAUAUUGACUCUCGAUAAACGAACAAGUAAAAACUAUCAGAAGACAUAGAAACUAAUUUCAUUAAGUUUUCUGAUUAGUCGGUGAAUGGAAUUAGUUUUAAAAUGGUCAAAGAAGCAAGUUAAUUAAAAAGGCCCACCUACCAUUACCAAGAGAUAACAUUAUUUUUUUCUGAAGAUAAAAAUUGACUUUAAUUAAGAUAAUAAUAAUAAUAAUUAGUACUAAUUAAUUAAACUUGGAUCAAUACUAACGUGAUUUGGUUCCAUCAUGCACAAGAACCAAUGUUGUACUAUGAACUUAAAAUAAUCAAAAUUAUUGGCACAAGUGGAUGGUAAAAUUAAAUAAAAAAUAAAAGAAUCACGUGAAAAAAGGAAAUGCUUAGUGAUUGAUUAACUGACAAACUUGUCUAAUUAAACUUAUUUAAUUAAGUUGAGUAGCAUUAGUUAGGUACUUAAUUGAAAUCUUUACAACACAACUAUGGAUGGUUAGCUGUGUUUCUUUCUCAAUUAUUUGACUAGAGAUAAUAAUGUUUAUUAUCUUGCUAGGGCCUCACUAAUUAAUUACUUAUGAAUUAAUCUGUAAUGCAAAGUACCUUUCAAUCCUAUAUGGAUACCUAAUACCCGCAAACUAUUGAAAUUUGGAUAGGAGUGAAUUUAUCCACCGCACAUUAUAUCAAAUGUUUUUCUUUUUCUGGCUUAGUUGGUAACUUGGUAUAUGAAUAAAUUUCGAAGAUUUUACUAUUAAGAGAUAAAGUGAAAUUGACGUGAUCAUUUUAUUCUUAAUCAGAUCUGAGAUAAAUGCGUAGAUAGCCACUUGGAAUAUCACUAUUCAAGAUAUAUCCAAAAAUAAAAUUAAAAAAAUGUUAUUUAGUCAUUUUUUAAUCAAUUUCAGAUUGAUCGAAUUAAAGUUGAAAAUCUAGGUAUGAAAUUAUAUAUUAUGCUAAAAUUCUUCUUUAAAUCAAGUAUGGGGUUAUAUAUUGGCAUAUUAUAGGUGACAAUUAAAUUAUAGCAUAAUAUGUUUGCUGGAAAUUGACUUAGAUAUUAAUUAUCUUUACUUUGAAAAGAUAGGUUAUUCUUUACAAUGAUGAAAGAUAUUUGGGCAUUAAUCAUUAAUAGCUACACAACAACUUCCCCACCUAAUUCAAGAUUAAAAAAUACUUAGAUUUUUGUUACCCUAACUACAAAAUUAUUCGAUAAUUACAUAUCAAAGAUUUGUAUAUAUGAUCUUUAUGGAUUUGACUACAACAAUAUAACUUCCAAUAAAAAAAUAAUGUUACUUUGAAUAUGACAAAUCGAUAUAAAAUUGUAUUCGACAUAUAUAUUAUAUAUAUACAAAUAGAUCUUUGAUAUAAUCACGCAAAUAGCAGAAUCUUUUUUGAAUGGGCUAAUUUUUUUAAAAGGAAGAAGCUCAAAUAUAUCAUCGAAUUUUGCUCAAAGGCUCAUAUAUGCCAUAAUUAGAAGUUUGUCUCAUCUACGUCAUUUGAGUUAACAAAUAAUGAUAUGGAUGAAUAUUUUCUCUAACAGAUAAGAAAUAGCAUAGAUGAAUCAAUUUUUUAACGAAUGACAUAGAUAAGUCUUUUCUCAAAGUUCGAUAACAUUUUUGAACCUUUUCCUUUUUUUAAUGGUAUGCUAGAUAAAUACAAUGCCUUUGUCAAAUGCUCCAUCUCUUAAUUUUGUGUGUGAAUAGUGAUAAGUGAAGGAAUCAGAAUAUUCAUUAAUGUAUGUAUAUUCUUUUCUUUUUAAUUAUUUUUUUAGUUAAUUGGAAACAAUAAAUACCUAAACAAAAGUUGAUGAUGGGGCUCACACUCAUCUGGAUAACUAGAGAUAGAGGUGUCUAUCUUGUCUCCAUUCUUUUGAAUGGACCCUACCACUUAAUUAUUAUACAGGAAAAAAUAUUUUAGCUUUUGAGAAACAAUUUUGAUAAGAUGAUUAUUAGGUAAGUAUCUUCAAACAGAAUAUAAAUGCUAUCCACACAUUUAUUAAAGGGAGUUAUAAAAUUUAAUUAGUACUCACUCCAUUUUAUAAUACUUGAUCCAAAUUAAUUUGAGACACUUCUUAAAAGAAAUAUUUUCUCCCUUUGAUUUUAGUUGUUUAUAUUUAAUUGGAUGCGUUUUUUGAUAAAUAGUAAAUAAAGUGAUAAUUUUAUUAUAUUAUUUAUGAUUGUUAUGUAAGUCAUAUUAGUGAAAAAUGAAUUAGAAAUAAUUAGUAUUUAAUAAUUUAUCUAUCUAUACUACCUUAAAAGUAUGAACUCUCAAACUUGAAUGUUGAAUUGCUAUAAUACCCCUAAUAAAAAACACUCAAUGUAUUUUAUUUAUUAAUUUAAUUAAUUUUACUAUAUUGAAAGUAGAUACAUUUUCAAAUUAAAGGAUUGUGACUUUUUCAAUGAGUUGUGAGUUUUCCAAAGGGUUGUGACUUUUUUUUACAGGUUAUAACUUUUUCAAUGAGUUGUGAUUUUUUCGAAGGGUUGUGAUUUUUUCGAAGGAUUGUGACUUUUCUAAAGGGUAAUGCCUUUUCUGAUGAGUUGUGCCUUUUUCAAAGGGUUGUUACUUUUCCGAUAAGCAGUGACUUUUUCGAAAGGUUAUGACUGUUUGGAUAAGACACAAUUAACACAUAUUCAUACUACUAUUUGGUAGCUAUAAAAAGAGGGGUUUCCUCACACUUUUAAACUACAAUUUUUUUAAGUUCUCUACUCUUCUUCUUCUUAAAAAAUCUCAAGUGUUAUUUGUAAAAAUUGUGAAUCAUUCAUCAAUUCACAGUCAUAUUUUUUCUUACCAUUUUCAUGAGUUAACAAUGACGAAAAGUUAUGUGAGAGACAAUAAUAUUAAACAUAUAUGAACAAAGGCAUAUGAUUUGGGUAAGAUAUUUCUUCUUUGUUUUUUUUUUUUAUUAUUCUUUUCCCUUAAACGAUGGAGUUUCUUCCUAAUUUUUCUAUAACAAUGGGUAUCAACGUAAUCCAUUGAAUUAUUAGUUUUGAUGUUAAAUUCACUAUUUCAAAAUAGAUUUUAACUUUUACUUAUAAUAUGAUAACAUAGCCAUGAUAAUAAUUAUUUUUAAUAGAUAUGUACGUAAAAAUGAACGGAUAAAGUAAAGUGUUGGUGGCAAGAGGUUUAAAUCAAAUGGAACACUAGAGUAAAUAUAGCAUGAACAUAUAUUUUCGUCUUCCUUCUUCAUUGGCUAUGUAUUGUUCCAUAUUUUUUUUAUGUCACAAGAUACACUCCUUACUAGCUAUAUAAAAAUAGAUAAGAAAACAGUGAUUGAUCAUAAAAUGAUCAUAAAUCAAAUUAAUGAUUCUAUAAAUAAUACUUUACAUUUUAUUCAUCUAUUAAUUUUUAUUAUUGAAAAAUUUAAUAAAGAUAAAAUAUUGAAAUACUUAUGGUAAUCCUUAUUAGUGUCAUGCGCAUACUAAAUUUCAAGUAUUAAUAUUUAAGACAAAAAUUUGUACUUAAACGGUGUACAUCAUUUAUGUUCAUAUCCUCAAGAGUAAAGGCUAUUUGUUACAUUUUUUGAAUGGAUAUUUUUUUUUCUAUUUUGUUGGUUAGAUUUGUUUACAAAAUUGAGUGAAGUAAGAAAUAAUAUUAUUUAAGAAAUGUCACUUUCUCCCAUAGUUAAACUUUGAAUGUAUUUUGAAAUGUUUUAAUAAUGUCUGGUCAUUUUGAUCUCAAAAUACAAGUAACUCUAUGACAAUAUGUAUUAAUAAUUUAAAAACACUUGUCCUAUGUUCGUUCAAUUAUAAUUAUUUACUAAAAAUCUUUAAUUUAAUAAUAUUAAUUCUAUCUUACAACGUCAUAUACUAUAUAUAUGAUACACACGUGCAACGCACGUGCCGUAAAACUAGUAAGAAUAAAAUAUAUGUAAGCUAACAUUUUUUAUUAUUAUUUAAAUUGAAUAAGUAAAAAUGAAAAUUAAUUUCUAAUAUGAAUAUAGUGGAUAAGUAAAAAUGGAUGAAGGAAGUAUUUAUUAGGGGUUUAUUUUAUUUAUCCAUUUUUAGUUGUUCACUACAAUAAGAUAGAUAACCGCUUUUAUUUCUUCAAUUUGAAAAUUAAGAGAUAUUUUAUUAUUUUUAUACCUAUUUUACCUUGUGUACUUUUCGUAUUCCAAUGCAUCAGUCAAAAUAUUGAUUUUAUAUAUUCAAAUAGUGAUUUAGUAAGCUUAUUAUUUUAUUAAUUACUUUUUAAGGCAUGUGCCAAAUUAAACAUGACCAAGUAAAAAUUAAAUAGAAAGUACACUUAACUAAUCUUAUUAAUUAUUUUCUCUGUUUCAUAUUACUUGACUCCUUUAUUAAAAUUAAGAUGUUUCAUUUUAAUUUUUUCCUUAUCAUCCGUAGUAUUAAAAAACUAGAUAAAGUAAUAGUAGUAAAAUAUAAAAUUUCAAAAUAUCAUUAGUAUGGUUAAUUGAGUAAAAUAUAUCCGUAUUAAAAAAUCCUUAAGAAGUCAUGUGCCAAAUAAUAUGAAACAAAGGAGGUAUGUUUUAAAAUUUUAAAUUUUACUGGUAGUAAUUUAAAACUCGUUAAUCCAGCUCAUUAUGUUUCUAAACUUCAUUAAACAACCAUUGUUUUCAGACAUAAUGCACUAUAAUUAUGGACUACUUUACAAUUAUCAUCAUCAGUUUCAAUAAAUAUUGCACUAUAUUGUGAUCUCGAGGUUAACAUUUUUUAUUUCUUCUCGAUGAAAAAUGAACUUAGAGAAUAUAAGUCCAUCCGUUUCUUUUUAUAUGUCAUCUUUAUUAUAAAUAAUUGAUCCAUAAUACUUGUCAUUUCAUAAAAUUAAUGCAUAAAUUAUAAUAUUCUUCCUAUUUUACCCUUGUGAGUUAUUAGCCUUGAAAAUAUAUAUUUAACAAACAUAGAAAAAUUAAGUGAAUAAUUCAUGUUCAUUGGUCAAAUUAUCAAAAUAAAUUAAUUUAUAUUUAUUGAUUGAAAAAUUAACUUCAUAAAAAGUUAAAUAAAGGUAGAAUAGUAAAAUUACAUAAUUUCUUAAUGCACGGCGAAAUAAAAAAUGGUGACAUAUAAAUAAAAACGGAUGGAGUAUAACUUUAUCAUUUGUGUGACCGAAAAUAAUAAAAAUAGGAAAAAGGUUCAAAAAAGUCCUUGCAGUUUGCAAAAUGGUCUAUUUUUGCCCUCUAUUUAGAGUUUGAGUCAAUUAUGCCAUUGUUAUUACAAAACACAAUUGUGAAUUGACAUUGUAUAUAUUGAUACUUAUUUUCUACUAGUUAUUUAUUUAAAAAAAAAUAGGGUCAAUUCAUUAGACAAGUCAUUAUGGUAAAGGCUUUUAGACCUUCAAAUUUUUGGGGCCUAUUUCUAUCAAUAGUUAUUAAAAGUAAAGCAAACGUGUGUAAAUUUCUUUUUCUUUAAAAAUAUAUUGAAUUAAGUUAGAAAAUAAUUCAUAGUCUCAUGUGCUUGAUAAACUACAUAUUCUAUUUUCCAAAUUAAAACACCGUCAAAUAAUUUUAAAUUUAGAUAUCAAAGUCUGUCGAAAUAGGAUUAUCCUUUAUCUUUGUUUUUAUGUAUACCUCACAAGCACACAUGUUUAACACCAAUAUAUAUAUGUGAUUUAAUUAUUUUUUUUACUAAUUAUUGACGUAAAAUGUAUAUGUAGUGCACACAACACAUGUAUAAGAUGCACAUGUGGGGAAAGACACUACUAAAAAAUUGUCAAAAAAACAACGGCCAAAAGCGACGGACUGCGUCGCUUUUUUGGUCAAAAUCGACGGAAAAGCGACGCAAUCACUUCCGUCACUUUUAGCUCGACGCUUUUCAAAAAGCGACGGACUGCGUCGCUAAAAAGAGACGGACAACGUCGUUUUUAAAAAAGCGACGGACUGCGUCACUUUUAGAGACGGACUGCGUCUCUUUUAGCGACGGACUGAGUCGCUUUUUUACUUUUUUUUUUUAAAAAGCGACGGACUGCGUUGCUUUAUUUUAAUUUUAAUUUUUUUUAAUUUAUAAAGGCCGACGCAGUCCGUCACUUUUCUGAAAAUUUAUUUUUUGAAAAUCUCAGAAAAGCGAUGGACUGCGUCGCUUUUAGAGACGGACUGAGUCUCUUUUAGCGACGGACUGAGUCGCUUUUUUACUCUUUUUUUUUUGAAUUUUUUUAAAAAAACGACGGACUGCGUCGCUUUAUUUUAAUUUCUAGGGCGAUGCAGUCCGUCGCUUUUUUGGAAAUUUAUUUUUUGAAAAUCCCAGAAAAGCGACGGAUAAAAGGACACUGUCCGUCGCUUUUCUGGAAAUUUAUUUUAAAACUUAAAAAGCGACGGACAAAACCACGCUGUCCGUCGCUUUUCUGAGUUUUAAAAAAUUAAAACCCAAAAAGCGACGGACUAAACCACGCUGUCCGUCGCUUUUCUGAGUUUUAAAAAAUUAAAACCCAAAAAGCGACGGACUAAACCACGCUGUCCGUCGCUUUUUCUGCAAUAUUUUUGAUAGCAGGAGCUCGCAGCUUCUGCUGCCCACCUGCAAAUGCAAUUCAAUUCAAUUCUACACUAUUCAGCCCAAUCAAACACACACAAUUAUAAACAAUCUAAACAAAACAUAAAACAACAAACUUAAAAUAACAUUCAAAAGUAUCUAAAUCAUAAAUUAAAGACUUAUAAAGUCUUUUAAAAUUCGUUUUAAAAUUUCAAAAAGUUCAUAAAUGUCCAGAGAUCUAAACUAGGAAGUUAGAUCUACAUAAUCAUCCUCAUCACUCUCGUCGUCGGUGUCAUCGGGAGCCGAAGUACUAGGUCGACGAGCGAGGUUCAUCACUUGUUCUUUGAUUUGCUGAACGGUCUCACUCAGGCUUUGUUGUUCAGCUACUCUUUUCCGCUCCGACUCUGCUAGUGCCGCUGUAAGUUUAGCUAUUUGAUCCGACAUAGCAGCAAUCUGAACACCGUCAAGUGCCUCAGCUUGACGUGACGAUCCAAUACCUUCUAAGCCUGACUGAAGGCGUCUAACAUCGUUGCGAGAGCCUAGACCAUAGCAUCUACCCUUGUGUGUCCCCCCUACCACUUUUUCUUUCCAAAUCUGAGUGGACAGUUCAGGUGUCAAUUGAACCAAACUAUCUAGAUUCUCAUCGACGAACUUAUGAAAGUCAUUCUGCAUAUUAAAUAUAAAUAUUGACAUCAAUAUAUAUACAUAUCAUAAAUAUAUUCACUAUUGAUAUAUAUUAUUCAUAUUANNNNNNNNNNNNNNNNNNNNNNNNNNNNNNNNNNNNNNNNNNNNNNNNNNNNNNNNNNNNNNNNNNNNNNNNNNNNNNNNNNNNNNNNNNNNNNNNNNNNNNNNNNNNNNNNNNNNNNNNNNNNNNNNNNNNNNNNNNNNNNNNNNNNNNNNNNNNNNNNNNNNNNNNNNNNNNNNNNNNNNNNNNNNNNNNNNNNNNCUCCCAAGUACACAUAGUCUGAAAAAAAUUGAAUAAUGUUAAUUAAAUCGAUAGUAAAAAAAAGUAAAGUAUACUAAACUUAACUAAAAAAUAUAUACCUUAAAGUUAUUAAACAUCGCCUGGCGUAUACUGUUUGGAAUCUUGCUCCAAGAGUGAUAAGCUUGUGUAUAGAGUCUUCUAACACACUCUUUUAAAGCCCGGGCAGCAUCCUUUGCAGGAUGCCACCUGCAAAACACAUAAUAAAUAUGUUAGUUCAUGAAUAAUAUAUUAAAGUAUAAGAAAUAAAUAAAAUAAACUAACAAAUAGAUAACAAAACAAACUUACGAUGAUCCAUCCGGCUCAAUCAUGACUAUACCAAGUCUGUCCUUCUGUCCUGGAGCUAGAGUAGACAUCGUAUCAUAUGGUGUAGCACUUGAUUUGUUAAACUACUCGAGGAAUAUAUAUAUAUAAUUAAUCAACGUAUUUCAUACUCCGAUGAAGUAUCAUUUACAUGUCAUCAUAAUUAGGAGGUGAUCACUACACUUGACAUCCAUUCAAGAUCGAACGUAUAUAAUAAUACUAUCUCGCAUUUCAUACUGGAAUGAAUUAUAUGUUAGCUCUUCACUUCUGCUACAUCACGACAUGAGAUAUUAAGUUUAUGAUUAGACGACGAACUGAUAGGAUUUGUACAUUACUCUAUAAAUAUAAGUAUAAUUAUCUCCUAAUUCAUAUCAACGUAGUUUCAUACUCUAAAUAUGGAUUAUAGAUAUUUUUUUAUUUAUUCCACGAAUUCUAACUUUUUAUUUAUAAAAGUAUACAAAAUUGUUACACUUUUUGAACAAUUAAUCGUAGGUGUAAAAUGAAAAUUUAAUAUUAUGCACAAUAGCAAAAUUAUGAUUAAUAGAAAUAUUUUAAACAUACCGACCUCCGGAUGUCGCUUUUAUUAAAAGUAAUUAGAUAUAAUAAAAAAUACCGACCUCAUGAGGUCGGUAUCACAUUAAAUUUUAAGAUAAAUAAAAAUUAAUCAUGUUAAUUAAAUAAUAUUGACAUCGGGAGGUCGGUAUUUUAUAUUAAAUUAUUUUUUAACUUAUAUAAAACCGUCAUUCGGUUUAUUUAAAGUUAAUUGAAAAUAUUAAUUUAUUACAUACUAUUUAAUUUUACCGACAUCUGAAAGUCGGUAUUAUAAUUUUUUUUGUUUUUUAUUUUACACAAAACCAUUCUCCGGAAGACGAUUUAAAUAAUUUAAAUCAAAAUAUUUCUCAAUUUUAUUUUUUAUAUGAUUAAACUUUAAAGUACUAAAAAGUGUUGGAGAAUUUAUUAAUUUCCUCAUUUCUCAUAUUGUGAUGGCUUUGGUACCUUAGACUUGAAGAAAACUCUUUUUUCUUUCUAAAGAAGUACAGUCGAAAUCAUGAAUUUUUAUAAUUAAAAAAAUUGUGUCAAAAGUUGGUGGGAAAGUCUAAAGACACAUGCCUAUUACAUUUCAAAGGAGGAAAGGUGAAGAAUAUAAAAGACAUAAAAUAAAACGAAAAGGAAUAUAUAUAUAUAUGGAGAGGCUCAACGGAAUUGGUGGCCUAAACUCAAAUUUUAAUUAGAGAUUUCAAGUGUAUAUUCAAUAAAAUUAGCUUCUGUGAGCAUCACGUAUCUCUCACUACUAAAAAACUGCUAAAAAACGAUAGAAGAAAAAGCGACGGACUAAGAGAUGCCGUCCGUCGCUUAUUUUAAAAACUAAUUAAUAAAAUAAAAUAAAUUAAAACGACGGACAGCGCAGUUAUUAUUUAAUUUAUAAAUAAUUAUUUUUAAUAAAAAGAGACGGACUAAGAGAUGCAGUCCGGCGCUUUUUGGUAAAAAAUUUUAAAAAUAAUUAUUUUAAUUAAAAAGCGACGGAUGGCAUCUCUUAGUCCGUCGCUUUUUCUUCUAUCGUUUUUUAGCAGUUUUUUAGUAGUGAGAGAUACGUGAUGCUCACAGAAGCUAAUUUUAUUGAAUAUACACUUGAAAUCUCUAAUUAAAAUUUGAGUUUAGGCCACCAAUUCCGUUGAGCCUCUCCAUAUAUAUAUAUAUUCCUUUUCGUUUUAUUUUAUGUCUUUUAUAUUCUUCACCUUUCCUCCUUUGAAAUGUAAUAGGCAUGUGUCUUUAGACUUUCCCACCAACUUUUGACACAAUUUUUUUAAUUAUAAAAAUUCAUGAUUUCGACUGUACUUCUUUAGAAAGAAAAAAGAGUUUUCUUCAAGUCUAAGGUACCAAAGCCAUCACAAUAUGAGAAAUGAGGAAAUUAAUAAAUUCUCCAACACUUUUUAGUACUUUAAAGUUUAAACACUAAAUAAAGUUUUAUUUUGACAUUUGGUAAAAUAUAUCAUUUCACCCCUAGUGGCUUUAUGCUUUUUCUCUCAACCAAGUGCAAUUUUUUUUCAUAAUACGUUGCAUGGUGCAUGCAACUUAAAAAAAAAUAAUAUUAAAGAAUAAGAAUUACUACAUGUAAAAUGUUAGUAAAAUAUUAUUUAUUGUCUUAUUGACCAUCUUAUUAGAAGUUCUAGAUCAACAAUCAACCAUUUUACUUAUACAAUAUUUCAUACAUCACAAUAUCUAUAAAUUUCAUCGUAUUUUCUCCUUUCUUAACUGAAAGCACUCAACACACGUCAACGAACACAUAUAUUAUAUAUAUUAUGUAUCUAGACACAUAAUAUAUGUUGCGCGUGUGCCCCCAUUUGAGAUCUAAAUUAGGUCAAGAAGAAGGGCCUCCAUUAUUUAUUGACAUUUUUUUUUUCUUUUUGUAAAGUUGGACCCUUAGGGUUGCAUGACAUUUAAAUAACAUAUCUUAUACCAAUCUUAUUAAAAGUUAUUAAAUUAGGCAACUUCUGCAGGACAUGUCAAAGGGAGAGGCAUUAUAUUGUCUCUUAUAACCCUCAAAUUACCAAAUUGAACAAUACAAGAACUAAAAGUUCAAUUAAAAAAUUAAAUCAUGUAUGUCGCUAAUUAAUACUCACCUGAUGGAUAUUUAUUGUUUUAUGGACCAGAUAUAUUCUCAUUUGCACUACAUUAUUUUAUGUUUAUAGCCAACAGAUUGAAUAUAUGUUCCAUGUUCAUAUAUACCUAGGCCCUAGACUUAAUUGAUAAGUCCAUAACUAGGGAUGUUAAUCAUUUAUUAGGGUGAAGAUUAAUUAGCCAAUCUUAUUUAAUUGGAGUUAAUUAGUUUAAUCUAGAUUCUAGACUAGGGAUAGGUUAUCACAGCUGUAUAGUUGUACAAGCACAUGAUAUCCACAUGAAAUUGUUGAUUAAAUUACCAUAUAUAUAUAUAUAUAUAUAUAUUCAGAGGCGAAUUGAAAGUUAAACAUUGGGAAUUCUAAAGAUUCCCUAGGGGAAAAAUAGAGAUGUCUCCUAUGUUACCCAUAAUAUGUGAAAGUAUCGACGUAAUUUCAUAGAGUUAUUCGGUCUGAAUGCUACAUGAAGAACAUAAGCCAGAUGACGGAACGGGAAGACCCAGGAUGGCUUUUUUACCCCAUUGUAGGGUGGAUCUCGAAAGAUAUGAAAGAUCUCCCUCCAAGCCGUACAUACGACUUUCAUCGGCUAUAUAUAUAUAAAGUAAAAUAGAAUGACGGGGCUUGAAAAAUAAUACUUCCCUCUGUCCCUUAUUACUUGUCCACUUUUGAAUUGACACACCUAUUACGAAAACAAUUAUUAACAUAGCGAGUUUACUAUUUUACCCCUAUUAAUUAUGAAGUGAAUGAAUUAAAAACUUAAGUUUUCAAGAAGUUCUACUUUUUUCAAAGUAAUUAAUUGAUGAUAUAAUAGGUAAAAAAAAUUGUCCUUUCUUGAUUUGUCAAAAUUGACAAGUAAUUAAGGACAACUAUAAAAAGAAAAGUGGACAAGUAAUUAGGAACAGAGGGAGUACUACAAAUUAUUGGAAAUAGAAGAAAUACUACUAAAAACAAUACAAAAAAUCAACGGACAAGAGCGGUCCAAAAAAGAAAAAUCUAGAAAUUGAUCUUGUCGGUUAAUUUUUUUUUUUUCAAAGAAGAUUGAUGGACGUUUAUUUUCUCGCACAAAAAUGCGUGAAAAUCAAAUUGAUUAGAAAGAGUUGUUCGGAUGGUAAGCAUUUCUCACCUUCAACACGAAAGUUGUGAGUUUGAGUCACCAAGGAAGCAAAACGGUGGAAAUGGAAGCCCCUGAGGUCGAUUCUAAAUAGAUAUAAAAUUGAGUAUAUACCGUCCGUCGGUUUUACGCCUAUAAAGCUUAAUUGACGAUACAAGAUUAUGUAGGCCACAAUUUGAAUUGACAUAAAAUGAUAAAUGUCACUAAAUUGCGACUCUGCUUCACUAGCUAGUCAAAGUAAUUAAGAAAGACAAGUUAGAUUAUGUGACCUAACAAUUAUAAAGCUGUCCACCCACAUUGGAUGGACAAUUAUGUGUUGGAAGCAUAUAUUAUAUACAUAAUAAAAUUGUCUAACCUAUAGUGGUAUAUUAUAAGCAAUUAUUCAACAGAAUAUUUUGCAGUAUAGUUUGAAGUCUCCAAAUUUUGCCCAUCAUUCAGAUAUAAGUGGAUUUACACGAUAAAGUUAUAGCUACUUGCAUUAUAUCAAUGAUUAGUGAAUAGUCAUGUCAUUUUUUUUCUUUUUUUUCAAAAUGAAUGAUUGACCCCAAGAAUCAGACAUGGGGUUAAUUACAUUUCUCUAAAGAAUAUUUUUAUUUUGGCAAUGGGAAAUAAUAAUAACAUAGUAUUCUCCUUUUAAUUUGGUUACUUAGACAUUGAAAAACUGAAUUAUGAAAUUGUGAGAUAGAAUUUUUGAAUUGAAUUAAUAUGUGCCAAAUUGAAUAAGCAUGAAUAAUGGAUCCAUGGAUGAAGAUAGAAAGUUGAAUUCUAAUUGUAACUAAAUUUUCAAUUUCUUAUUUGUAAAGAAGAAAGUGAAAUAAAAUAACUAUAUUAAAUAAUGAUUUUGAUUUACCAGAGAUAUCAACAUAUUGUUUUAGCUUGGUGGAAAACAAAAUCGUUUUCCUCAGGAUACUAUAAAUUAGAAAUAAUAGAGAACAAAAAUAAUUAGAAAGAUUUUUAAAAUGAUCAUCUACAAAGCCAUUCAUUUUUAUCUUUAUUCAUACCAAAAAAUGACAUAGAUGUUAUGAGUAGAUCCCCUUGCUCGUACUUAUUCCUAUUGAUAUUUUUUUAUGUAAAAUAAAAGACCGCUAGACACUGUCUAGUAGGCUUAAAAAAAACAAAAAAAACAUGAUGAAGUUGUUAUGAUUAAUUAAAAAAAAUCAAAAAUCAUAACAACAUCGGACCAAUUUGACAUAUUAUUUGAGAUCCUUGACAAUAUUUAAAGAUUUUCGUGUUGAACUUCUUUUUCUCGAAACGGUUGCUAAAUAUUUUUUCACCAGAUACAUUUAAAUUUAGGAAAAGACUCAAAUAUGUUAUUAAACUUUGGAAAAAAGUUCAUCUAUAUUAUUCGUUAAAAAAUUGUCUCAUUUAUGCCAUUUCGUUUGAAUAGUUGUGCAAAAUCAAAACUAUUUUCAAUUGAUAAAUAAUGACAUAAAUGAGUCUUUUCUCAAAUGAAAAUGAUACAGAUCGAUGAACCAAACCUAACGGAAAGCCAUAGAUGAACUUUAUCUCAAAAUUCGAUGACACAUUUAAACAUUUUCCAUAAAUUUUAAAAAAGAGAAACUGAAAAAACUUUCUCUAAUGCAGUUUGACAGGAGGUACACUAUUCUCGAGUUUUACAAUACUCGAUAGGAAUCGAAUUUCACUUUCCAAAUUCCGAUUCCCCAUUUUUUUUUCCGGUUUCUCAUUCAGUGUUGAUACUCACAUUAAUGAUUAUUAAAUUCGAAUUCGCCUCGAAAAAUCGAUAGUAGUGAUUAUUAAAUUUGAAUUUGCCUCGAAAAAUCGAGAGCCUAACACUAUCCCGAGACCUCUGCUCUAUCACAGUAUAGUAAUAUAUUCAAAAGAAAUUACAGAUAACUGGAAGGGAAAUUGAAAUUGAGGCAAUUGAAGGUUGCAACGUGUAAUUUGAACCAAUGGAAUAUGAAUUUCGACUGCAAUUUGAGGAACCUGUUAUGCUCACGUAAGUUUCUAUAUGUGCUAUGUUAAAUAUCAUUUCUUCGGGUCGUUUUUGUUCUUGGUUAGGAAGUGAAUUAUUCAGGUAUCAAAAUCAGCAUAAUUGGAAUCGUGUUUGAUAGCAUUUUAGUUGUUAUGUAUCAAAUUUUACACACCAAGCACGGUGUUUGGCUACCAGUUUACAAUCCCGCACAACUAAAACAUGUAUUUUAUGUAGGGCAGAAGAUGGAAUAACUAAACUCGACAUAACAUGCAUAACUUUAACAAAUAAUUGUGUGAAUAAUCCGGGUAAUCCUACUACUUUGCACAUAUGAAUAAAUGAAUAAUUGAUUCCACUAGUGUGAGCUUGCUCAAAUUGACAGUUUCAAGCUUGAAUAAAGGAGGAGAGGGUUGCAGUGGGCUGACAAGUGACAACUGGUGUAUAACUUGUCAAUUAACCGACCCCAACUCGUUUUGGACUGAGGCGUAGUAGUAAUUGUUGUUACUUUGCACAUAUGAAUGUUUGGUUUUGUUGUGGAGUAACAAGACCUAUUGAUAAUAUAAUAUGCUGAUUUUUCAUUUGAGAUGGAAAUCAGUUUGUUUUGCCUUGGCCACAACAAGUCAAUUAUAUUGGUGAUAUCAUCAAGGUUUCUCAUCAUUGAAAUACUACUUGAUGUUUAAAAAGAAAGACUCACUGAUAAGUUGGCAUCAGAAAAGAAGUAGAGAGACAGUAAAUUAUCAUUUGAGUUUUUCCCUCCUUUGUAAAGUUUCCAUUAACUUGCAGGUGGGAGAUUGGACUGAUGGCAUAUUAUGUUUAUGUAGCUUCAGUAUAUGUGCCUGUUAUCAGAUUCAGAACAUUACAACUGUCAAAUGUUGUGCCUAAACAGGAAAAUAGUCAUGAUAAGGCCAAAGUUGUGGCUAGCAAAUGAUGGCAACUACCGAGAAAUCCGAUGGUAAACAAAAAUAGCAUCUUCAAGGACUGCUAAAUGUGCAUAGUUUUGGUGAUCCUGUUUUUGCCUAAACCAAAAGCAAACCAAUUUUUAACAGGCUUUAAAGUUACAUAUCAAAACCAAACCAAGAGUGUAAAAGAAUUGUCUGUUUUGCUUUGUUGGUUCUAAAUUGGUGUAUUUGAGUUUAUCAAGUCUUCAUUGUAUUUUGCUUUAUCAUUGUAUAUCAAGUGAUAAUGGUUCUUACUUCCCCUUUGGUACUGUCUGGUGUAUUCAGCGUUUCUUAAUUAAGUUUGCUUAGUGAAUUGCUUUCUGUUUCCAGAUUAGAUACGAGGAGGAUAUAGCACUUGAACCUUUUGCUGGCUAUGGGAUUAUCUAAGAGUAAGUGGUGCAUCUGGAUUUUUGCUUCCAGUGUCUGGUGGUGCUGAUAGUUCCUUCCUUGUUGCUAUAGUUUUUCAAUGUGACAUCUUGUAGUAAAAGGUUUAUUGGAUUCUCUUCCCUUCUAAACAUCUAUAUUGUUGAGUUCUAGCUAUUUUCCUGUUUUUUUGUAGCUAGAGUAUGACAAUCACAUUGCUGUCAUGUAAAUAGGUUUCGUUGUAGUUAAUGAGAAGAAUGAAAUUGCAGUGAUUAUGUUCCCCUAUCCGUGUAGUCGCUUGAACCUUUGGUAGUUUCCUACAUGAACCAACAGCAUCCUUCAGUGAAAAAAUGAUAGAUAAUUACUGGUGCUGUUUGAUUACUCAAAUUAUUAACUGGAUUCGUAUUUGGUGAAUUGUUACCGAGAAAACAUGGUACGUGUGGAGGUCUGCUUUGUUAAAAUGUACUAGUUACUAAAGAAUGGUCUCACUUAUAUAAUUUUGGGAUUGAACUUCCCAUGGUGUAGUUAAACUGAAAAUGCUACAGCAUGGUCAAAUUUUGAGGGGAUCCUUGAUUUGUCACAUUAGUGGUCAGGUUUCCGCUACACAUCAGCUAAUUUUUCCGUCUGUAGUGUUCUAGAGCUGGCAAGCAUUUUUAUUAUCCUAUCCGUGCAUGUCCUGUAAUACAUGUACCCUGUCUUCAUUUACGCUAUUCUGACUGAUAAAUUGCAUUGAGCUGGUCAGAUUGUCUACCUUAUUGUUAAAGGUAAAAGUAAACAGCACUUAGCUUUGUUUUCUCUGUAGUUUACUCACCGGUGAUGUCAAUGCAGAAAUUGCAAAUGGCGAUGAACCGGUAAAAGCUGAUGACAUUUGAAUUGGCUAAUACACUGAUGGUUAGUUUUCAACGGGAAGCAAAGAAUUUGCUGAGCACGUUGUUUAUACUGUUUUUACUUUUUAUGGGAUCUGAAAAUAGGCAAUAAAAUCAGCAAAGUGCCACUAUUUUCUCCUUUAUCAGAUUUUCUAUUCUGAUUUAUAGGUGUUCUCUAAUUACAACUGUAGUAAUAAUUUACUACUUUAAAGUUGCUUUGCUCAUUUUCAAUUUGCAAAUGGCUUUUUUAUUGCCUUGCCUUGGGCAGCAUAUUUCUGGUCCAGAAUUGAGAGCCCUUUUAGUAAUCUUAAUACAUGUAGAAAAUUUGAACAUUGCAAAGAUGAGAAUUUGGUCAUCAUGAAAUCUCGGCUAGACCUGUUGUGCUACUGCCUGCUAAACCAGUGUUCUCAAAGGCGAUCGCCAUUGCACCUUUGGCGAGAGGCGAGGCGAGGCAAGGCUAGUCAGACCCUUGUCUCCGUUUGUCGCCUUUCGCCGUCCAAAACACUGUGCUAAACCAAAGCUGACAACCAACCUCAUGAAUUCUAGGAGUCAACCCUACUUAGAUUUUGUUCUUAAAUGACAUUCAUUCUCUAAUAUCAAGGACUCAUUAAAAUUCCGAGAAGUGAAUAUUCCCAUAGAGUUUAAUGACACCGUUGAUCUGAACUUUAAGGGUUUAAAUUUUGCAAGUUUUUUACUUUUACUGGCGGAUGAAAUUAGAAAGAGAAUGACAUCUCCAACUGUAAGCAGAUGAUCUACUAUAAGAUUUCAUGCCUUUUCUAUUGAUUCAUAUAUGUCACCUUCAGUGGAGAAGUCCUAAGGGUGUCCUCACUUCUGGAGAAUACCAACAGUGUUCUAUCAGAACUCUAUGUUUGAAAAUGAUUUAUUUGAAUUGAUUAUUGAGCCAAACAGUGUUGUUUAUGCGUGUGACGGUUCAGAAGCCACAAAAAACCGGGCAAAGGUGUUGUCUAAUGAGAUAGAUCCUGGCCUCUUUAAUUUUGGUCUCUUCACUACAUUUUAUAUUUCAAACACUUACUGGAAAGUCCACACUACAAGGUAAUAAUGUGAUAAAUUUUACCCUUAUCUAAUUAUUUGCUUUAUGGAGGAACUGAAACCUUUACCCUCAUAUUGUUUGGCCAACUAAUAGUUGGUUGGACUAAUAAGAACCAUUUCUGAAAUAAAGACCAAGUAAUUGCUUGUCAGUGCAAUUUUAACCUGAGUAUCUCUUUGUAGGUAGAUGGGGGGAUAAGACAUUGAACAUGUAUUAGUUAGUCCCGAGAUUAUUUAUCCCACCAUUUAUGAUAACUAAUCCCAUGGGAUCACUUUGUCCCAUCCCCGAUACCAAACAACCCCUUAGGGUAGCAAAACAUUCAAGCUUGCGUCUGAAUGGUUUUAGCGUUCAUGUUAGCAUCUCUACUACCGUGGCUUCAUAAUAAACCUGGUUUUUAUCUAGUUUUUGGUAGCUCCAAUGUGGAUGGAUGAAGGAUUAUGUGGUUACUUAACAAAGGUAGAAGAAUUUUUUGUUGAAUCGAGUCAACAGACGUGAUGAGAAUAUAAAGUGUAAAGUUAGUUAGCUGUGAACAGUAAAAGUUAGUUAGUUGUGAACAGUAGAGUUAGUUGACAUUCAGUUACAUUAGAGUCAAGUUGUUGAUUAGUUAAAUUCUGCCAUAGUUUGUUGAUUAGUGAUUUGUAUAUAUAGAUUCACAUUGUAAUACUUAUUUUCUUAAUUCACAUUCAAUGAAAAAUAUCUUUCCAUGUAUCUUCUCUCUCGAUUUCUUUCUCUCAUAUCAGUACAUUCUCCAUUAAUGGAGAUUGGGAGCUCACAGUGCUGAUUUUGUCAAGACGAUUUUUGGGCCACCUAGCUACUACUGUUUGAAUUUGUUUGCAGCUGGCUUGAACUCUCCUCAUAUUUUGAUCUUCUGUGCUUGUAGAGCAUGUUGAUAAACAGAUAACAGAUUGAAUUGUAUAUUAGUGCAUCUCUCUCUUUUUUUUCUAACACUUAUUCAGGUGAUAACUGUCUAUAUUUGCUGUAUGAUUGUAGUUCAGCAGAUAUAGAUAUCCAAUUGGAAGCAUCAGUAAGAUGGAUCUUCGAACAUUUCUGAAAUGGGUUGCCAUUCAUCUCGGUUACUCAUUCUCGACAAAGAUUGUAGCUGCACCACCUACUGCUGAAGUGGAACCUAUACGUUCAAAUUAUAGUCAGGUAUUGAUUCAGUGUACUGCCUAUUUUCAGUUUCUAAUGCCUUUUCUAGUCUUGCGUAUGAUCAUGUUUCCUGUUACUAGUAUUUUCUUAUCCUUCACUAAUAAAUCACUAUGGAGAGUUUUUAUUCUGCAUUACAAUAUUUGUGAAACAACUGGAUGAAAUGGAUAAGGGUAUGACCUAUGAUGAGCUUUCAGUGUAUGGAAGGUUGUGGAAGAUUUUUCGCUGGGGACCUGUCCGUAUCAAUGUUUAAGAUUUGUCCUCUCAUUCUGUAAGUCUAUGGAAGCAGACUUGCCGUAGGAUCAUUUCUUCCACAGGUUUCGUAGUCCUUGACAACUUACUGAAUCAUAUUGCAGAAUAUGUGUUACAAAUGGGCACAAAGUUGACGCGUGCAGAGGUGGCUGACAAAGUGAAGUACCUUCUUUAAGUACUAUUCCAUUCCAUCAAUAGACGGACAAGGGAGGCUUGCUCAAGUGGUUCGAGUCACUCUGGAGGGUAAGUAGAACACUGUUGAUCCUCCUUAAAAAGAGAGAGAGAUACAUACCCGUACUAAAUGCCUGCCUACUCGUUCCCAUAUCCAUGUACCUUAAAGCCAAGUAGUCAGAGCCAGUAUAAAGGAUUUAGACAGUGUAAUGCUAUUGUUCUGUGUUCCAUACUUUCAUUAGAGAAGCAUCAUCAUCAUUUACGCCUCAAUCCCAAGCAAGUUGAUGUCAACUAUGUAGGCAUUAGAAGUUCUUUAUAGUUUCUACAUAAGAUUGUUUAUCAGAUAAGGCAUAUAAAGUUUCUCGUCUUGCAGAGUUGUGUUAUUCACCCAAAGACAACAACAGGUUUGAUCUGCGGCAGCUUCUGUACAAAAUUAGCCAGCCUUAUCAACUUUGAAAGAUUGAUAAGCUUGCUGGUGAAUGGUGAUAGAGAAAUGGGUGUUGUGGCAACUGGCUUGGGCGAUUAAAGGGCUCGCGUUUCAUUCUAACUUUGAUGAUUUAGCUCAACGUGCAGCUGAAUAGGAGAAACUGGAUUUUAAAUGCUUUCCAAGAGAUCUUCAUUUUUACGCACAAGAGAUAUGAAAAUGUUACUUUUUUCUUCUGUUGCUCAUUUUGUAAGUGGCCAAAUUUGAUACAAAACAACUACUAACACAAGAUAGAAAAAUGAAUCAGUUAAACCAAAACUCUUUGACCAAUCACCUAAACCAAAGACCAACCAAGUAAUUUAUUUAACUUUUUAUACAUUAGCAGUUUUUUUUAAGCAUAUUUUUACCUAUUACAACAAGUUAUUUACUUUACCCAAUUAUGAAAGAAGCAAAAUAGUUGAAUUAAUGGUUAAAAAAUAGACUUUAACUAUUCAACGAUUCAUUGUUCUAUUUACCUAUUUAAACUAUCACUAUUAAUAUGCACCUUGACAUGGAGUUAGCCGAAUAUUUAUUCCCAAUUGACAAUUGCCGUAUGUUAGUUAAAUCAACUUAACAUCGAGUGAUAAUUGAAGUAUGAAACUCGCAAAAAAGUGAUAGUUUAAAAGUAUUUGUUUUACCAUUAAUUCAUAUUAGUUUGAUUCAAACUUGCAUUUUCUUUUUUAAAAUGAUUAUAUUAAAUACUUUUUUUUUUGUGAAUUGCGUUUAACAAAUUUUUUAGGCCGUUGCCGCUCUAGAUCCUCUUUUCCCUCCAUUUUUUCCUCAUGUACUGACAGUACCAGUGACAAUAAUGUACUUUAAUUCGUUUUCAGGGGCAUUUGAGUAAUUUACUAAAGCAAAACAAUUUCCUCCUGUUUUCUUAUUAAGCAAAAAAACCACCUUCGUAAAUUUUGUUCUUCACAUUUCGGUCUGGAAAACCUCAAACGACAGCUUUGUGCUUAGUUCAAGGAAACAGCAAUGGAUGCCGACGAGGUGACAAUUUUUUAUUUUUUUUGCAUGUUUUCAUUUUUAUGAUAAAUGUUAUUUUUAUUUUCUUAUAUUAUGUUGGAGUAUAACAGAACGAGUUUAGGAUUGAGGUUUGAGGAGUGGUAGUAUUAAUUAGUUGUAAAUUUAGUGAUAUAUUUUUUUGAUAAUUUUUGUAUGUGUUUGUUACUAUCUGUUGCUUCAUUUACUUUAAAUCUUAGUUUUUGCUGUCUUAUUUUCUAAUAAUCGUGUUCUCUACCUCACAAAGGUAGUGUGGUAAGGCACCCAAGGGUGUGUCGUAGUGGUCAAUCGAAGUGGUUGAGAAAUUUGAGGUCUCAGGUUCAAAACUAGCGGAGACUAAAACACUAGUUGAUUUUUUUCCCAAUUGUCCUAGCCUUGGUGGACAGAGUUACCUGAUACUUAUUCCUGGUGGUGGAGGUGGCACAAAAGUUGGCCCGGACACCACAGUCACAAAAAAAAAGAAGGUAGUGUGGUAAGGUCUAAGUUGGGGCGGUGGCAACUAUCCCGUGGAAUUAGUCGACGUGCAUGACAGUUGGUUCGAAUACCACGGUCAUAAAAAAAAUGUAGUGUGGUAAGGUCUAAGUUGGGGCGGUGACAGGUAUCCUGUGGAAUUAGUCCAAGCGCGUGAAAGUUGGUCCGAAUACAACGGUCAUAAAAAAAAGGGUAGUGUGGUAAAAUCUAAGUUGGGGCGGAACCAAGUAGGGCUGAAGGGGUUUAUUCGAAUUUAUACAUGGUUAAAACUAUUUUUUAUGUAUAGAUAGUAGAUAUUGAAAUCGCCUUCGAUUUCUUCUAUUCAUAGUUAGAAACUCAUUAAUGAAAAUUUCGGUUGUGCCACUUGAUCUAAUGCAGUGGUAAGGUGUACGCUCAUUUUAACCUCCCCAGGCUCCACUUGUGAGAUUGCACCGAGUAUGUUAUUCUUGUUGUUUCAUUUGUUAACAUUGUAACCUCCCUAGACUCCACUUGUGAGAUUGCACCGAGUAUAUUAUUGUUGUUGUUUCAUGUGUUAACGUCGUAACCUCCCCAGAAUCCACUUGUGUGAUUGCACUGUGUAUGUUAUCGUUGUUGUUUCAUUUGUUAACAUCGUAACCUCCCCAGACUCCACUAGUGAGAUUGCAAUGAGUAUAUUGGUGUUUUUGUUACAUUUGUUAAUGUUUUUUUUGGGUUACAGAGAUUAAUAGCUUUAGAAAAGGCGUAUACGGAUGUAGUCUUGAACACAGAGAAAGAAGCAGCGACGAGGAUUAUGGUGUCGGAACAGAAAGCUCAAUGUUUUCAAGAGGAGCUCCAAGUGGUGAAAGAAAAGGGGCUAAUGACGCUGAUGAAGCUCAAAGAGAUGAUGGAUUCUAAGGUGAACUCUAUUGAACACUAGGCAUUUGACCAUGAAAUUUUUUCACUAACAGCACUGGUGUUCUUUGCUCAAACCAAAAUUGACCAUGUUGCAAGUGUCUGCUGAUCUUAGUCCCACAAUCAAUUUGAAGCCAAAGCCAACUAUAUCUCACACUUUUCAAUACUACAACCAAUCCUCGGAAUAUUGACACUUAAGUUAUAAGCAUCAAAUAAUGAUUUUAAGCUAACACACACUCUGUGCUCUCCAACUAUCAAACAUAAUCUUAUCUUUAUUUCAAAAUUACGUUAGGAAAAUUUAACCUCUAUGAAUUUUUUCCUUUCCAUUUUGUUGUGAAGACCUGAAAACAAAGACGUCAUUGGCAUGCAGCCAAAAGAUAUGGACUGUAUGAGUGUCUCAUUUUCCUCCACAAGUGCACAUGUCCUCCAAUGCAACUCCCAUUUCCACUUGGUCAUCCCACUUUAGAGUUCUUAAGUACAUCUUGAAUAACUUCUUGCUACCAUUCUCUGAGCAAGACACUUUUAUCCUUUGUAGUUCUUGUUUGUCUACUAAAGCACAUCAACAUUCGUCUCACAAAUUCACUCUGAUAAGUUCUAAAUGGGGGCUUGUUCAAUUUAUCGCUUGAUAAUUUAUUUAUUUGAGAGGGAACCCAAAUCUUCAUACCUUUUGUAACUACCUUGUGAAGGUGUGCAACCAUUUUGGCAGCAUUUGAGCCUAAAACCUUUCUUGUCAACCUCAUUGAAACCUCUUGAACAAAAUAUGUCCCUAACUUCUCACCCUUAAAUCCUAUUCUAAGCAUUGGUUUGUUUGAAUAGCAAACAUAGGCCAAAAGCCUAAGUUGGGUGUGUGUCACGACCCAAAGUACACCCUAGACGUGACAUGGCAUAUAAGACCCCGUGAGGUUUAUUAUGGCAUCUUUAUUGAUUAAUACACAAGAGUAGGCUAUACUCGCUAUAACCCAAAGAUUAGGUCCAAGGCCGAGAAAAAUCUGAGAUGAACACAUGAGGUAGAUUUGGGUUCAUGCUUAUUUUUGGAGUAUAGUUUAAGUCAGGGCUAACAUAAGCAAGUUCGUUGAGAGGCAGUCUUCUGUCUUGUCAAAUAAUUUUGAAAGGGGGAGUAAUUAUUUAAAAGUGAGGUGAGUAGACGUUUUUAAAUAAGCAACAUGGUGACAUGCUAAGGACCAAAAAAGUUUCGAAGAUAGUCAGCUCUGAAUCUGAACUCUAUGAAUCCUACUUGGGUGAUUUGAUUGAUUCCUAAUUCUUCCUCACAUAAAAAUGUUCUUGCAGUUUCAAUAAUGUAACGAUGCUAAGGCAUAUAGAAUGGAGUAAAAAGAUGUUCAAAUUUUGGUAUCAAAAUGUUUUUCUACCUACGGAUGAAAUUUUUGAAAAAGCUAUUUGACUUCAUUUUUACCUUUUUAGUGUGUAGAGCGAAGUGUUUGUGUAUUGAUCAACAAAGAUGCAAUAAUACAUGUUUUUAUCAAGAGAUAGAACAAGACAAAUCACUUCAAAUAAUUUAAAGCGGUUUAGAGCUUUUCAGUGUCAAUUUAUAAAAUGGAUGUUAAUGAGCUUACAUGUGAGCUUGUGGAGGUGAAAUGGGCCACUCAUGCAGUCCACUUUUGUUCCAGCCGCAUGCCAACGAUGUCUGAGUUUUCAGAUUCUUCACAACAAAAUGAAAAGGAAAGCAUCCAACAGAUGUUAGAUUAUCCUGACAUAGUUUUGGAAACAGAUAUAAAAUAUAAUUUGAUUCUUGUAUGUCAGUAGAGCCAAUAUGUGAUAUGGAUUUGUUACCAUCGUGCACGUUGGCAUCCUUGUUGUCGUGAUACGAUUGUACGUUGUGCGGCUCCGUUGCGAUAUGAUGAGUGGCACCGGAGUCGAUUUACCAAGGAUUGGCAGUGGUAUUGAUUGGUAGACACUUGCAACAUCGCCAAUCUUGUUGCAUAGAAACAUUGAGUAAUGACAAUAGUGUUAUUGUUAUUCGAGGACUGAAAUAAUGGAUUUAUCAAAAAAUAAUAAGAUAAAACUGAGCCUUUUUUAUUUCUAUUUUUUAAUAAGGAGAGAUAAAUGCCAGUUCUUCCCAUUCUGAUUUUACAAAGCUUCUUUGAUUCUCAGUUACAAAAGAAACUUUUUUUAUUCCCGAUUCCCCUCUGGCCAAUUAUUUAGUAGAUGUAACUAAUUUUAACUUUUCUCCUUUCUUUAUAUAUCAUUCAUCUAGAAGACAUCUUGCAAACAUAUUCAUUGCCAGUAUCCACUAUUUAUAUUUUUUCCAUAUCUUAUUGACAGAUUAUUGAAGUAGAGUUGACAUCGUUGAGUCAACAGAGGAAGAUUGAAGAACUUGAAGCUCAACUUGAGGAAGCAGAAGAUAUUGUAAGUGAUCUCAGGGUUGAGUUGAGAGAAGUUCAAGCUGAACUUGAGAAAGUUGCCAGCAAAGAGAAAGAAGAAAAGCAAUCACUGGAUGUUGAUAGUACUGAUACUAGAGAACUAACAAAGGACAACACAGUUGUAUUGCCUCCAGAAUCUCAGGAUGAUUCAGUGACAACUUCUAACAUGGAAGUUGACAGUAUGAACCAGAAAACUGAGGGCUACCAUUCUUGUCAUACAAAGGUUAACCCUGGAAACUGUUCUGUUGCUAGUUCGGAUUUAAGUUUGACAGGCAAAGCUCUAGAGUUAUACCAAAAUGGACAUACACAGAUAAUUCAUGCUGCUGAAGGAAACCUGUCAGAUAGGGAAAUCAUUCAAAAUGAAACAUUUUCUGAACAUUCUUUGAAGUUGGAAAACAUGCCAACCAAUAAUUUCUUGACAGAUGAUUCAACUGUAGCAAGAGGCAAUGCUCCAAGUGAAGAUCCUUCUGAGAUGGUCCAAAGAUUGUCCACAGGAAAAGGUGAACAAGGCAUAGAGAUGGGAUAUGCAGAAAGUUCUGAUAAUAAACCGCAGUCUUUUGAGGCUUCUGGUGUUCAUUAUGCAAUAGAUGAGCCUGAGGAGUUGAUGGGGAAGAUGGAUCUUUCAGAAGAAGAUAUUGAAAAUGUUUGCAAUCAGUUGUUCUUUAUAAAAGAUCUUUGCAGUCAACUGUUAAAGUCAGAGUCAAGGGUGACUGAUGUAAACAAUCGGGUCCCUAGCCAACCUCUAAAUGAUAGAGUGUUUAAGUACACAUACCAAAGAAAGAGGAAAAGAGAAUUGUUGAGUGUAUCUGAUGAGAAAGCUUCAAUUGCAAAGAGCUCUCAAACAAAAAAAAAGUGUGAAACUAGACAGUCUUUUUGAGACACAGGAUGAGUUCAGUGACAGAAUCAUCUCAGGACAGUUGGCAAAUGGCAUUAGGUUGCUCAACAGGUUGGUUAUUUGCUUAUUUAUUCCCUUUGAUUAGUUGAUAAUUAUGUUGUAUACCUAUCUCUGUUUAUAUACUAAUUUAACUGGUAUACCUUCAAUUUGAUAUAUGUAGCAAGUGUUCCCUCACAUGAAUGUGACGAUAUGUAUAAUUUUUGGUAUGAGAAGGCAGGCUGGUAGAGCUCGUCCAAUUGUUAUAAUGUGCUUUUUUCCCAUCCAAAAUGAAACAAGAGAAAGGAGAGGUGUCAAAUUUGAUGUCUUUUUGGUUAUCUAAAAGUUUUAAUACAUAGAAAACUUGGAAGUUCUGUCUAUUUUUAGAUCUUUGUGGGGAAUUUGCCAGGAGUUCUGAGAAUAUGUUGCAACUCCAUUAAGGUUAUCUGCUUUCUGGACUUACUGACUGCCUUCCACAAUUUCAUCAGUUCCUAGCAUUUACAAAGUUUAUACUAAGGAGGCAUCGUUCUAGUGGGAAAGGCCAAACCUUCUACUCUUAAAAAGGACUAUGUUUAUAGUUUAGUCGACCAAAUUCGGAACUUGUUUAUUUUGAGGACUUUAUGUCAAGUGAAGUUUCACUAGAAGAACUUUUGGAUAAUAUUGUAGAAGUUUUUUGUGUUUGACCAUCUUUCCGAAGUAUCUUUUUGCAUUGAACUACACAAAAUGACAUGUAAAGAUUCACUUUAUAAUUAAUAUGUUUUGAAUAGGUAAAUUGAUUUGAUAUAUGCAUUAUGAGACUCUAGUUAUUCAACUUCUUUGCAUUAAAAUACAAAAGAUAAGUUCACAAAAUAGAGAGAGGGAGCAUGUUUAUGAGACUUUGGUCAUAGAUGGGUUGUUAACAAUGCAUGACAUUAGUUUUCAUCCAUAUGCUAAGGGUACUUUGUCUUCAAAAAACAAAAAACAGCUUAUGGUACUACUCAUAAGGAGAAACUAUUUUUCAGUUUCUUUGCCAAAACAGAAAAAUAAGCACACACUUUUAGUUUCUGAAUAGUUUGGUUGAACACGCUAGUAAGCUUCUUCAUAGAAAGAUGUUAUGGAAGUUGGAAUAUUCCAUCAGGAUAAAUUUUUCGAGAAAGAACAUUUAGGAAUAAUGAAUUUAUCAACUCUUAUGUUGGUUUAAUGCUCAGUACUGUUAAGUAAUGUUAUCAUAUUGCCCUAUUUUUGUUGGUGUGCUGCAAAUUUUGAUGACUGUUAAGAUGUUAACUAGUUUAAGGUUUCUGAAAAUAUGUUGUUUGUCUCUUGGUUGCUCAUAUCUUCCCUGUUUGUUCUCUGCAGCUAAUGUGUCUGUCUAAGAAGUGCUAGUGAAAUUGUGUGUGCCAUGUCUUCUGUGCUAUAAAAUAAGGAAUGUCUUCUGUCAGCUAUCUCUGAGAUCCAUCAUGUCAUUUAGGAUGGAGGUUUACGAGUGAGAUGCACGAUCCAAUUGAUUGUUUACAUGUCCAGCAGGGGCCGUAUCUAGCCUUAAUGCACCAGAUAACUUUUUCCCAGAUCAUGUAUUUGUAUCGAUAAAUCCACUAAUUAGUGAACCUAGUUUUUGUUGUAUAUUAACUUGAGAUCACUGUAGGAACUUGUGACUUUGUUAUCCAGUAGGUUAACUAUUAUUAUUGUUUUGUUUGGAUUUGGAUGCUAACCUUGUAUAUUAUGUAGCUUUCAAACUUAAUGAUGUUCAUCUUUCCUCUUUGAUCAUCCUUUUAGGAGAACAUUUGCGUAACUGGUAAAGUUAUUUUCAUGUGAUCAGGAAAUCAUGGGUUUGAGUUGUGGAAACAGCUUCUUGCAUAAAUGCAAACUCUGUGUACAACAAAUCCUUUUAGUCCGUCCCUUUCUUGGACCUGUGCAUAGCGAGGGCUUAAUGCACUGAUCUGUCCUUUUAGUCAUUCUUUUACAUAUUUAAUUGUGAAAUGUAUCUAUUGAUUAAGAAUGGGACUUUCAAAGAUAACUGAUGGAAUACUUCUGUUGAUAAAGAAUCACAUUUUUGGUAGUUUAUUGUGGAAUGCCUUUGCUGAUUCCUAUAUUCACAGUAUUGAUAGUUUAUCUCUUCUGAUGGUAUUAUGUCUUUGAAAUAACCUUUCACUAACAUAAUUUUAUAACUAAAAGACUUGUAACUAAAAGAUUGUGUUAGAGAGGUAAGUACGUCGCCAUUUUUUUUAUCAAGGGUUUCCUAUCGGAGACUUAAAAAUGGAAUCUUCUUUGGAAGAGAAUACAAAUUCAAAUUGGUUGAGCUCCAAAGUGAGUAUUGAAUAUUAGGCGACAAACUAAAAAAUUAAGAGUAAUCAAAUUUUAUCCAUAGUGAUAAAAGAUAUUAAGCACAAUAGCCUGAUUUAUUUUUAUUAAUAAAAGAAAAAUUAAAUGGUCAAAAGCUAACACAUUUAAACUAUUAUCUUUUCACAAGUUUUAUUUCUUACUAUCCAUUGUUUUAUUUAUCUAUUAAAUUAUCACUUCCUCUUAUAUUAGAACACACAUCAAUGUUGAGUUGAUGUUAAGUGAAAAAAUAUUUGUCCAACUACGCAUCUAUUUUAAUACAAAAAAAAAUAAUAGUUUAAUCUAGUAAAUGGAACCAUGACAAUUGAGGUAAACUCGCAAAAAAAAAAAAUUAUUUAGAUGUAUUUUUAACCAUUAAUUUUAAAAGAAAAUAAAAAGUGGUAGUCAUAAACCCCUUCCAAGUUGGAAAUAAGAGGGCUUUUUUUGGGGCUUUGCAAUAUUGAAGUCAUCUUCUCCAUUUCAAUCCCAACAACUAAACGUUCGAAGGCAAACGCCGGAAAAUGGGAGCAGCAAGCAAGGCAGGGGACUUGAUAUUUAAGGCCUUCGUCGGAGGGCUCGGUGUCACCACCAUUUAUCUGACGGCGACAUUCUCCGUCAACGUCUACCGUGGUCUCUCUUGGCAUAAAGCCCAAUCGGUAACCUCCACAAUCUCUUAUAAGCAGUUAGUGUAUGAUUGCUAGUUGUUUUUCUGUUUGAUGGAAAACCUAAUUGUGGGAUUUCUAGCUGUGAUGCCCUUUACCUUUGAAAUGAGAAUUUUUAUGGGUUUUGUGUAUUUUAUUUGCGAAGAUAUCUCGAUCCAUUUUUAGUAUCUCCAUUUGAUCUUCCGUCAUGCUUAUUUGAUUUCGUUCGUUUAUCUGUUACAUGGAUUAUUCAUUUGCCUUUAACUUGCUCAGGUUGAACGUGUGAUAUAUGGGUUUGGUUGGGUUGUUGAAAAUAUGCUUAAACUUAGUGAAGAAUUAGACUUGAGUGUAGCUGAUACUUUGCCCGAAUUACCUACUUUAACACACUCAUUCAUUCCGAUAUAAUCUGUUUGUCUUACUUUCAGUUUUAGUCUGUUUCAAAAAGAAAAUCUAUUUCCUUUUUUGCAACUCUUUAGUUCUAACUUCCCAAACUUUGUGCCAAGUCAAAACUAGAUAAACAAAUUGAAAUGGAGUGAGUAGCUCCUAGUAUGUCAUGAAGAAUGUCUUCUAGUACUAAUUUGAAAGAUUAACGAUCAUUUUCUUUCUCUUGUAGCAAUUGUUUGUCUAUUGCUUUUUGUAUAUUUGCUCCUUUGUAUUGACGCAAUACAUCAAUGAGGAUUGUUCAGCUCAAGAGUAGUGCCUCAUGUUCUGCUGGCUACUGGCCUCUACUUGAAAACCAUGCUGUUCAGUGUGCCAGACAGUCAAGUAGGACCGAAGUUCCAGCUGUCACUUAGGCGUUGGAAGAGCCUGUACCUUUCCCCUAAAUCUUAUCCAUAUGAUUUAGCUCUAAUAUUUUUGUGUGCUUACACAACAAGUUCUAAUUUAAUAUUUAGUUUGUGUUAACCGUGGUAGAUUUAUUUGAGAUAAACAUCAGUCAAUUGGUGACUUUUGUCAAAAAUUAAUAUGAAGAAAUACCUGUCGUUGUGUCUUUUUAAUCAUCAAAUUGCUGGAUGUGGACUUUUAAUGAGGUGUUUAGUUACUUAAGGGUAGGAGAAGGGUAAAGGAAGGAGAAAUUCAUUAGUUUAUGUCCCUCCCUCCCAUUAUUUGGAAUAAGUCGAAGGGAUAAAGAGAUAUUUUGUCCAUUUAGUCCUUAAAGAGGCUAAAAGAGCGGACUUGGAUAGGUAUCUAGCAGAACCUUUCACUUGUACUCCUAUCUCCUACCCUUCUGCUCUCUUUAAACAGACUGUAAAUGAAUUGACUUUUCCAAAGUGGAAAAGAAUGUGAUAAAAAAUGAAACUUUUCUGCUGCCAGAGAUCACUGAUCAGUGGAACUCUUUGCUGACCUAUUUCAGAGUUCAUCUAACAUGCAAGGUGGAUGGCUAUGUUGCUUGGACCCUCCAAAAAUGUUGCCACACCUAUAUAGGAUUCUUCAAUAAUGCUCUGCUUUUGGAGGAUCCGACAUGCACUUGUCGACAUUUUUAAAGAGUCCAAGCAACAUAGGUGGAUGGUUAUUUUGGUUUUCUUGGAGUCUUUUCAAAUGGGUAUAAUGAUUUUAGUUAUCAAACUACCAAGUACUGGUGCGCAAAAACUGAGCAACUCAAGCGCUUUCAUUUCUUGAGCACUAAUGAUGUAUUCAAGUGCAAUUGUUUCUAGUGAUCUAAUGAGUUCCUGAAAGAUGUGUUUGAGCAUGGGGCUUCUGAUUGAGAACAUACUUGAAGAGUUGUUUUGUUCUAAGUUGGCUACUUCACUCAUUGUGUAUGUGCAACUGCUUUAAGGCUGAUGUGUGUAAUGAGUCAAGUUAGCAGCUAGACCAUCCUUCAUGUUUUGUGCUUGCUAGCGUGCUAUAUUUGCUAAUUGGUAUGAAAUUUGGAACACUAUGUCCUUCUAGUUUCAGGCACCUGGCUAUGCAUCACAUAUGUUCCCUAGUCCCUGCACAUUUUGUGCGCUUUUUGUUAGUGAUCUUCUGUACAUAUUCUGCCUUUGGCCUAUUGAAUGCUGACAGUGCACCGUUUCUCCUAGAUCAUCUUUGCUGAAUCUGAAUGUUACGUAUCAUAUGGUUCGUUAAUUAAAUUGUUAGUUCUACAAGAACGCUUUCUGAUAUAUGACCUUUUUCUUCCUGCAAAUGUAGAAAAAUGAGAAAGAUGGAUCUGUAGUUCAGCAGGAAGAAUGACCCGUCUUCAAGUCCUACCCUUGGUCAUCGUGUUGCUAGCUGAGGUCCUGCCAGAAAUUUCGGAGUAUAUCUGAAUCUUGUCGCAUUAUGUAACGACUCUUUCACAGUUUUUCCAUAGGAUACUUAAAACACAGCAGCACUUCAUAAUCUUCUCCAUCCAACAAUCAAAUUGGAUGGACGGUAUGUCAUGUUUAUUCAUUUUCCAUUGCUAUAUUGUUGCUGAAAUUCUCCACAACGAUAUUCGGAGUCCCACAGUUGUAUGAUUUACCUUCAUUAUUAAUUCUAUUUACAAGUAACAUACAUAGAUAGCAUGGCAAUGGAUUUUCCUUUUGAUUAUGCAACCACCCAUAAAAGGCAAGUUCAUUUUGUGGUACUAAAGAUAUCACAACACAUCAUAUGUCAUACAAUAACCAAAAGAUGAAAAAUAAUGUAGAAAAUAGUAAAUUAGGUAAUUUCCUUUUAUCAUAUCUUACAUGCCCAUUUUGUAUUGUUUCCCAUAUGGUUCUUUUGGUGCAAUUCUAAAGGAAACUUGUAUCCAUAAGCAAAAAAGCAAGGCUAACUGCUUUUCCAUUGAUAGAGAAAUGCCCAUUGCGUAUAUAUACUCAAAUGUGGAAUUAGUUACUUGUGUGGUAAAACAUCACAUUUGAAUAUUAAUUUAUUUUUUCUAAAUAACUUUACAUAUUUAACUAAUAAAUUGAAUUAGUAUACAUAAUUUUGUUUUAGUUAAAAAUAGUACUAGUACAUUGUAAGCAGUUUAGAGAAGUUGUAGUUAGAGAAUAAUUUUGAUUAACCAAAUAAUGAGGACACAAUAGAGUAACAUCUUAUUUGUUCAUGUCAAUGUUUCUCUUGUCAUGACAUUGUCCGGAUAUCGAGAGUCAAUUUUUUAAAAUUAAAUUUGGACAUAUAAUCUUUAAGUUUUAUUUUUAUUUUUUGUGAUAAGGGAAAUUUGCAGUUGCUAUCCUUCUUGUGCAUACAGGUAAAACCCUUGCUCCUAUGCAAUAGCUCGCAAACCACACAAGAGAGCUAACCUGAACUAGGCAAAUCCAGUGUAACGAGCUCGACCUAAAAAAUGAACAAACCUCUUGCUUUUGCUGGCAAGGGGUUUCGAACUUGAGACCUCCAAUAUGGAAGUCCCAAGACCGUGAAUAGUAAUUUACAUAUUUAGAAACUACAUAAAAAUACUAUAAGUCACACAAAUUAUAAAUUUAAAACACAUGAAUAAAUCGCAAUCAAAGAUUUUCUCGUUUGAUUUUCAAAAUCUGAAUAAUGUCAUACAAACUAGGAUGGACAGGAUAAUUUUUUUUUUAUUGAAUGUCCUUUUUGAGAUUAUGUACAUUUCAACAAUAAUAACAUAUUCAAUAUAAUCUCAUUAAUAAAAUAUGGUUAAGAUAUGAUAUUAAUGAGGAAUUAAAAGACUAUUUUCGAUAAAAUCUUGUUCCGAGACUUUAACAAAACAGGGUUGCGGUAUAGAUUUGGUAACAACCAAGGGCAAUUUCGGUACACUAUAUUUUAUAUAUAGUAAAGUAAAGAACUUUUCUAAUAUUGAAAAAGCCAAGCGUUACACAAAGCAAAUUUCCGUUAUCUUCUCUCUCUAAACCUAUCCACCUAAAUUCUUCAGAUAUAUUUCUCUGAUCAAUUUUUAGGGUUUUUCCCAAAUUUUUGAUUUACCGAUUCCACUCAGCUAACAAUAAUGGUUUCCGAUUCAAUUGUCAACGUUUCAAUCCCUGUUGCUUCCUCUAAUCCCAGAGAUUUUGGCAAGAAAAAAAGGGUAACAAUUUGUUAAAUUUGUUGUUUUUUUUGUUCUAUUUACUUUUACAUGUUGAUAAAAUUUAAGCUUUUAUGGAUAUUUUUUACCUAAUUUGAUUGUGCUAUGUAUUUCUGAUAUUUGCUGUGAAUUUCAGGCUAAUCGGGCGGCUAAGUUGAAGCAGUGCAAGCUUGAUGCUCGACGUGAACAGUGGCUCUCACAAGGUUGUUAAAGUUUCUCCUUUUUUAGCAUAUCUUUCAUGUAUUUUAGUAUUUAGUAAUCUACCCUUUUUGGUUGGGCUAAAAUUCAUUUCUUUGGAAUUUGGACUUGAAUAUAUACAAUUACCAAGUUUUUUUAAUAAAUAUUUUGUCAUAUUAGUUCUAGUCAGGGGUAUUUCACACCCAUUGAGUUAAAAUUUUGGCUGAAGUCAUAUGCCAACACUUGGGGCGAAGUUUCACUUAGACAGUUUAAACAGCUGAAGUAGGGUUUGCCUGUGCUAUUUUGAUAAUUUUUGCAUCUGCUUAUAAAAAUCUCAGGCGUGUGUGCAAAAACGUUUCUUAUGUGGAUUAAUUGGUCAUUUAAGUUACUGUAACUGUCUAGAUCAUGUUAUUCACACGCCACACCCAAAAUAAAUAAAUAAAUAAAGAGAAAAUGUAGGCCAAAACACAUAGCAAAGAGACCAAUGAAUCAAUGACAUGUGGCCUUUUUGCCCAAAUCUACGAGGUAAGAAAUCCUAAUUUUACGGAGAACAUAUGUCUUCUUCUAACCUAUAUAUGUCAUACCAAUUGUUGUGAUUCUAAAGUCAUAACAAUUCUACAAGAACAAGAACAAAAAAAUUUCCGCAGUUCUUGGCCUAUAUAUACAUGCUGUAUUCAUCUAUCUCAUUGUGGCGCCUUGCAUAUAUUAUGAUUUAGAGUAUGACUAUGUUCAAAAAUUUAAUGUCCAUAGUAAAAUAGUGUCAGUUGGUGGAAUAUUACUCCAACCUGUUAAAGUUAAUUGGUUUGUGUUGCUUGAAUGGAGACAUCCGGAAAAGACGUGUCUGGAAAGUUCCUUUUUUUAUCAUGUAAAAAUAGAUUUCACACUAGACAAAAUAGUCAUUUAAGUAUCUUUUUAUAUUUAGGACAUUCCGAAUUAACUAAAAUUUUGAAUAUUAAAAUAUUGUCCUAAAUUAAAGUGAAAACACGUUUAUUAAGCAGACCUCCCAACCCCAUCCAAAUUGUCUUCUCCGCGGCCAUACCCCUCCUUUUUCAUUGUCUUUUCCGCCACCCCCCACCCCCCACCCCCAUUUGAUUGUCUUCUUUGCCGCCCUCUGCAUCCUCCCAUUUCUUUGUCCUCCACAAAAAGCAAGAAAGUUCACCACAAACACCACUCGUCCAUUGCUCCAAUGGAAGAGCGGAAUUGCUCCAAUGGAAGAGCGGAACUCAAUGUUUCAAUAUUUUGCCAGCGAUAGAUCUUAAAGAAUGUCAAUUUUCUGCAUGUUUAUUACUCCAUUACACAGAAAAAGCUGCAAUAACAUGUCCAAGAUAAACAUCAUGAUUUUUAUUACAUGGAAUGGUGGUAGAUGGAUUUGCUGAAACAAUUUUUAGAAGCUCCUUGACUUUUUAAAAAGUAAAUUGGAUGUCAACGACAAAAUAAAGCAAAUCACUAUUUCACAAAUCCUAGAAUAAAUUUGAGUCGGAAAAUUUGACCUCCAUUAAAGGAGUUUAAGCUUGGGGAAAUGGUGGGAGGUAGUGACUGGAAAAAUAGAAUAAAAUUUGCCAAAUAAACCCCUUAAAUGCGCUACAAAUGAGUGUAUUAACUCAUUAUGCCAUGCCAGCAACAAGUGUCUUAUUGAUACGAAAUUCAGGUAUUGUUAGUGUGUAGUAGGUACACAAUCUACUUCAGGUGUCUAAGUGAAACUUCGUGUCAACUUUAGUUGUUUGCGUAUGACUACAGCCUAAAAUCUUUGAAGGUAAAAAAAAGUAUGUGCAUUUGGUGUUUGAAUUAAUUAAUCUCAAGAUUGGUACUUUUCUGUGUUUCUGUGAUUAGUUAUGUUGCUUUCCUAUAUUUAUGUGCCUAAUUCUUGGUGGUUGGGGCUUGUGUAGGGAAGAAUAAAAGCUCCAAGCAGGAACUUAAUGGUGGGGGUGGGGCUUGUGAGCAGGGGAUGCAGGUUACUAAUGAAAAGGGCCAAUUGAUGGAGAAGUUAGCUAUAAAGCCGAGAGGAAAAGCAGAGGAAAAUGGGGGUUACACGAACACCUACAGUGAUUUUGAUUCACCUUCUAAUAGCCCCACCAGCCACACUAGUAGUGUGUUGGAAGGAAAUUAUUCUGGGACCAAUUUCACUGGUGGCAGCAGCAGUAGCAGCAGCAGUAGCAGUGGUGGUUUUAGUAGCAGUGGUGGGUGUUGCUCAGUAAGUAUGAGUGAGGAAGAUAACGAAGGGGACGAUGACUGCUUGGAUGAUUGGGAAGCUGUUGCUGAUGCUUUAGCUGCCACUGAUAAGGAGCAGGAGCAGCAUAACUCUAGCUUGGAUUCAGCUCCAGAGGUGCAUAUGAGUUUUCAACAAGAAGUUUCUGACGGGAAGGUACCAGUGAUGGAUACAUCACAGCAGAAUCCCAAGGGCAGAGGAACUAUACCUGGAUUUCCUGUCAGCUUUCAGGCGUGGAGGCCCGAUGAUGAAUUCCGUCCCCAAAGUCUUCCAAAUUUGUCAAAACAGUAUACUUUCCCUAUGAAUUCGGGGCGGCAUUACCGGGGAGGCUCUGUCUGGGGAUGUAAAAGUGCAGCAAUACCCACAUCAUGUCCUAUAUGCUGUGAGGAUUUGGAUUUUACAGAUACAAGUUUUCUCCCUUGUCCUUGCGGGUUUAGGCUUUGUCUCUUUUGUCACAAGAAGAUUCUUGAGGAGGAUGGGCGUUGUCCAGCUUGCAGGAAGCAGUAUAAACAUGACACGGUUGGAGGAGAGACAACCAAAGAUGCAGGCGGCCUGAUGUUUCAAGUGGCUCGUUCCGGUAGCAUGAUCUCAAGGUCAUAGGAAGAUUCUGUUUUUCUAUAAAUGUGUAUGUUGUGUCCUCUUUCUCUGUGUGGCUUGACUUUGUCUUUGUUAGACUCCAAUUUUUCUUAGCAUUAGAUGUUGAUAUAGGAUCGAGAUUCUGAAAGCACAGGGGAACUGUUAUAGUUCUCUUAUAAUUUUUCUCAUUAUAGAUAUGAUGCUUGUGCUAAUGUAGAAGACUCCUUAUGUGAAUAGAUAAGGUGGAUAAAGGUUAGAUAGAUUGAAUUUGAUGGUAUAAAUGUCCUAGUCUCUUUGAGCACUUCGUCACCUUCUAUCAGAUUUCCAUGAAUAAAAAUGAGAGAACAAUGGGGCAUCAAUCUUUGCAUGAAUAUCUUUCUUUUUGAAUAUUUUUGCUGCUCUUCAUCUUGACUUUUUGCUAUGAAUCUGAUAAAAUAUACAGCAUAUAUAUAUAUAUACACACACAUACACCUCAAACUUAGCAGUUAACUGGUCUAUUGCUCUCACUUUUCUCUUCAAUUCAGUUUGGGAUCGAACCACAAAAUGCAUCCUUACCACAUUGUGGGCUUUUAGUUCGGCAGAUAUGUACUGAUAAGUUUACUGCCACCAGAUAUGUAUCAAUGCUCUGCCUCAAGGUAAUAAAGAAGUGAAUUUUGGGGAUAGAUAUUUAGAUUCUCUUGCGAAAUGCUAAGUUCUUGCGCUUUGGGAGUCACUUUUAAAGUGUAGGGAUUUAUGAAGUGAAGUAGUCUUGUUGAGAUUAGACUGUUCAGCUGUAUAUUUGACGUUCUUAUUUUUUGUUAUCUUUGUUGUAUUACCUAACAGUUCUAUAUUCAAAUUGUGCACUCAUUGUGUGCUCACUGGACAUGUGGAUUAGAUCAUUCUUGGGGGGUGUUCAUUUGGAAGUAUCUCGAAAAAUGUUCUAUUCCUUGAGCUUCUUAUAAGCUGGUAAAAAUAUCAAGUCCUUCAAUAUGGUUAGUUUUGUUGAAAGCUAACAUUUAUGUGGACUUUUUCUAAGCUUUAUAUAGUCUACUUACUGGAUCUUGACAAGAUUAUGUUAGUGUGACAAUUGAUUUUGGAGAAACAGCAGCAAUUAUGUGGUGUUGCUUCCUUUUUCCUGGUACAAGUUGAUUCCUUUUCCAUGGAACAGAAGACAUUGUGCUACAGCUAAUAUUCUCCUUGCUGUUCUUGAAGUUCAAUUCCUUUAGAGCCUCUGGUUUGUUUCAGGGAUAAACACAUGAGAUCUUUGCAUGAUUCCCAUGGCUGAUAGAUAAAAGUUUGGUUCUGUAUGAUUUAUUAUACAUUAUUAUGAUGUUCACGAGUUUCGUGAGGUUAUCUUUUCCAAAUUUUUGUAUGGACUUGGCUGUCAGUGAGUCCCAAGUAUGGCUUGGAUAGAGGAAAGAAAAUCUCAUACAACGCGAAGGUGCAGUUGAAACCUUUUGCUGUCACUAUGCUGUCUAGGUAUCUUCCUAUUAGAAGUUGUAAAAUUGAAGUUUUGCUAGCUUCGUUACUUAAAGGUUCUUAAAACAUAAACAAGUGGGAAAUUCUCGGUGUACAUGGAAAAAUUGUGAGUUUGUUGUAUCCCAACCUUAAAUACUUGAAUGUUGCUAUUCUUGCUGCUAAUUUACCAUACAAGUAAAGCAGUUCUCAGGAAAAUUGAAACAUCAUCAAUUAUCUGAGCUACAUACAUCUGGUUACUCUCAUUGAAGUAAUGUGGAGCUGCUAGUCUAUCUUUUUAUUAUUAUUAUCUUAAGCAAAUACCAUCUGGCUGCUAUUAUUAGGGGCAUUGGAAUAUACGUGGUGGAAUGUUAUAGGUGUCUGUAAGUUGGCUCGGAUACCAUCUUUAUCAAGAUAUUAAGGCGCAAGGCGCUAAGGAGUUAUUUUCUCUGAUACCCAAGAUGUCUGUUUGUGCUGAGGAGGGAGUGUUUUCCACCAUUUGGUAUAGGUAGAUUCAGGGAAGAAAACAUCAUCGCCAAGAAGGCUACUCUGGAUCCAGAUAUUCGCAGCUGUUUCUAAACUCAGAACCCUGUCUUGCACUUGUGCAAAUAGCUUGUUUCUUAGUUCCUCCACUUCGGCCCAGAAACAAGACUCGGAACGUGCACCAGCUUGCACUUUAUCAAAAUGCUCUAACCAUCUCUGUGUGAACCGAUAACGCUUAGGCCUAGCCCUGAUCAAGUAAGGUCCAGUAUCUUCAUUCUUCAAGUGCCUGUAAUAGUUUGCAAUAUCCAAGGGCUCAACUUGCCUGCGAAACUGUGUCCCUAGUUCUAUCCAGUCUCUUCGUCCCUCAAAGCUAUCUGGGAGCUCAUACCUUUUCAACAUUUCAAUGAUCUCAUCCCAUAUACCUGCUAGCUCAAGCCUUUUCACAUUAGCUUUGAAGUCAUCUUCGGUGUUUUGAAUCUUGAAUGCAUCAUAAUACCCAACUUUACGGAUAUCACACUUGGUCUGGUACUCCUGUAUCUUGCUUAAUGCGUCCCUGAUGCUGCUCUUAUUUUGUUCAAUCUUUUCCUCGUUCUUCUUCUUCUGCUUCUCCCACUCUCCUGCUGCACGAAGACACAGCCUUGCUCUUGUGCUCUGAGAUUUAGAUAAUGUGAAAACGCCUAUUAGCUUGAGCAAGAUAGACAAUUCUGUUGAAAAUGAAAAAUUAACCAUAUCUAUUGCUUACCAGGCCAAGGUCAUUCAGUGCUGAAUUCAUACUUGCAACUUCACCCCUUAGAUCAACAUUUGAAGAUAAAGGAAUAUCAGUGAGAUUGUUGAGAUGAACAACAUCUUGCAUCUCUAAGCUAUCUUGCAUUUCGUUUUUAUAUAACAGAUGAUCAUUUAAGCUUCUAGCACCGACUACUGCAGCUUCUGCUUCGGAACUCAGUUGAGAGGAAUAGAACAGUAACUGCAGAACAGCAUCAGGGUUCUCAACGACAACCAGUUUCCUAUUCCCAGUGCAGAAGAUGUAAGUUCCAAAGGGUCUAUAAGGGCUGAGUUGAACAAUGUUGGAAACAGUUUCCAACAGCAAGUUUGUGCAUCCCUUCAGAUUACAUGCAGCAUAGCUUGCAACAGAGGAUGCAUUCCUCAUUACAGUCAUAAAGAAAUUCAAUGCAUUACUUGAUCGUGCAACAGCAUCGCGCUGAGAAUACUGGGACUUCGGAUUGAUGAAGGGAGAGAUUGCUUGAAGCAAUUCUUGAAUUGAUGAAAGAGGAGCAAGCAUCAUCCUGGGGACAAUGUCGUACUUCAUGACAAAAUGUAUGAAGUAACGAGCCCAGUUUUCGCGCCUGAGGGCAUGAGACCAUAUCUUGUUGCCAACAAGAGGGGAUCCAAAAGUCAUACAGUAUAGAUGGACUAACAUGUCACCUUCUGGUCUUGUGCGGCAACAUUCCAGACACCAGAGAGCUGCCAGAAUAGCUAUAGCACCACCGGACGAGUGCCCUGCAAACACUACUUGUCUUCCUUUUGACAUUGCCGUCUCCACCUAAAACCAACACAACUCCAUGAAUCAAUAUUCACUUUCCAAAUCAAAGAUGAAGGUAUGAAGCUUAAUUUCCAUUAACCUAGUCUACACUCUACAGAGGCAUUAUCAUGAUAGAAUCUAUGAUAGGAAUCAGUACUCUAUUUAAACUUGGAACAUAUUGCUGACAUGAUAACUAAUACUCCCUUCUUUGCAACUUAAGUGUCUUACUAUCUUUUUUGGUCUGUUCCAAAAAAGAGUCUCUUUUUAUAUCUUGUAAGUUUUCCAAUCCCAACACUCUACAAGGAGUUUAAGACCAAAAGAUUUAUAGGACUACACACAUAUUUAAAAGUCUCCCUUUAUUUCUUAAACCCCAUGUCUAGUCAAACUAUGACACUAAAAUUAGGACGGAGGGAAUAAAUAAACCACUAGACGGAAUCAAGUUGAUCAAACUGAACUAUCAGGAGUAGAACUUCCAAUGCUCUUAAAAAAAAUUGAAUCAAAAUGAAAAAAUUCUUUGUCUAAAGACUUGCACAGAAUUUGAUUCUUUAACUGGUGUACACUCAAGAUGUAAAAAACAUUUAUCUAUAGGUUAUACUAAUAUUAAACACUACAAUUUUUUCGUGUCAAGUCAAAAUCAAGACAAACAAAUUGAAACAAAAGGAGUUUUAAGAAAGAACAAGAUGAUUGAACCCCAGUAUGUAUACCUCCUUUUUAAGUGAAGAUUUGUCCAGUAUGUCUUGAAAUCUUCUAGCAAAUGCUUCAUUGACCUUAGCUACCUCAUCAGUGCCAACACUUCUCAAAGAUGGAAACAGAGUGGUGUUAAUCUCUGUCUCUCCAAAAGAAGUGUUACUGUACCAACCAUCAAAAGACAAAGUUCCAGCAAAAGCAAAAACAACAUCAGUAGACCGAUCUAUUUUCUUGUAAAUAUAAGGUAUCCCAGGUGAUAAUUUGUGAGCUUCCAUGGCUAAGUUACAAGCUUUCUUGAUUAGCUCUUCUCUGACUUCAAAUUCCUUCUUCCAAAUUUUUCACCAUUUUUUGCUUCUUAGCUGCUUAAAGAUUGCAACUUUACUGUUUAGUUUUCAAAAAUCUUUGAAGAAAGAUUGAGGAUGGAGAGAUGGAAUGAAGGUAAAGGGGAAAUGGGUAUUUAAGCUUUUGGUGAUUGGAUGAAAUGUAGAGGAAAUGAGUCAUUGACUUUUGAAGUCUUUGUUUUGCUUUGCUUGACUCUUGCCUGUGGAAAUUGAAUAGGAAGAUAAAUAGUAUCUAUCAAGGAAAUUUCCUACUAAUUGUUCUGCAAAAUGGUUAAUGUACGGACUCUUCAAAAAUGUUAUUUUUAUAGAAAUGAUUACUGUGGAAGGAUUUGAUAUGCACUCGCUUUUUAUUUGUCGUGAAUUCCCCUUUAUGUCUUCCAUAAGAACAAGAGGGAUGGGCUCUCCGCCAACACUUUUCAUAUACUUGUCGACAUUUUUAAAAGUUUGAACGACAUUGUAUAUUUUACUUUUAUUUUUGUUCUAGCUUGUUUCAAAAAAAUAUAUCAUAUUUCUAUUUUACUUUUUAAAAUAGUACUCCCUCCGUUUCACAAAGAAUGACCUUCUUUCCUUUUUAGUCAGUUUCAAAAAAAUGACCUCUUUCCUUUUUUGGUAACAUUUUACUUUUUGCUUUCCACGUGACAUGUUUAAGACCACAAGAUUAAGGACAAUUUUGUACAUUUAACAUAACUUUAAUUUAGGACCACAAGAUUCAAAAAUCUUCUUUAAUUUCUUAAACUUCAUGCCAAGUCAAACCAGACCAAUCUUUUUGAAACGGAGGGAGUACUUUAAUAUAAGCUAAUAUGUAAUGUUUAAGAAUACAAAUACUUUUAUUUUGUUAUGCACGUAUUUAAUUUAAGAGAACAAAAUUAAAAGAAUCUUUUUCUUUAUAUUCUACUCCCUCUGUCCCAUUUUAUGUGAGAUAGUUUGACUCGGCACGAAGUUUAAGAAAGAAAUGAAGACUUCUAAAAUUUGUGGUCCAAAAUGAAUGAUAGAAAUUUGUGUGGUUGAAGAAAGAUUGAGGAUGGAGAGAUGGAAUGAAGGUAAAGGGGAAAUGGGUAUUUAAGCUUUUGGUGAUUGGAUGAAAUGUAGAGGAAAUGAGUCUUUCAUAAGAGCAAGAGGGGUGGGCUCUCUACUAACACUUUUCAUAUAUUUGUCGACAUUUUUGAAAAGUCAUUUAAAAUGAAAUAGUAUAUUUUACUUUUAUUUUUGUUCUAGUUUGUUUCAAAAAAAUAUAUCAUAUUUCUAUUUUACUUUUAAUAAUAGUACUUUAAUAUAAGAUAAUAUGAUAUGUUUAAGAAUAUAGGUAUUUUUAUUUUGUUACACACGUAUUUAAUUUAAGAUAACAAAAUUAGAAGAAUUUUUUUCUUUAUAUUCUAAUUUUUAUGCACAUUACACAUCAAAUGCGACCGACACAUGGAAAGUGAAAAGGGGGGAGCAUAUUGGUGCUAUUAUAUUCUUUCUCUUGAUUAUAUAUUUUGAAAAGUUGGUACUUUCUUUGUUUUUUCUUUAAAAAAAUUUAUAAGAAAUAAAGGUUGGGAAGUUAGACAAGGCAACUCGUUUUGAAGAAAAAUAAAAUUUUGGGAAUGACAAUCAAAAUAUCUCGUGUUCACCUUGGAUCCAAAGAAGGGCCUAACCCGAGAUACAAAUAGAAUAGAAAAGCUACUUUGUUAUUGUCUCUAUUUGAUUAAGGUUUAUUAAAACUGUUUAGUGAUUAACGAGCAAAACAAACAAUUCUAAUAGACUAGAGUUUAGUUUUGCACAUUAUUAAAACUGCUUUAUGGACAAACUCCCUUUCACUAGUUCCUUGAAGGUGACUUGUAAAAAGCCCAUGGUUCAGCAGAAGUAUACUCUGUCACCUGCUUAAUGUUCAAGAAACUUUCAAGACCCCUGCAUCAAUGCACAAACGAUUAUCACUUAUCAGUCCGAUCAGAUCAGAUCAGAGGUAUCAAGUUUGUGCAUUGAAAAAUGAUACAUAGCUACUUAUCUGGCUGCUCUUAUUAGGGGCAUUGGAAUAUACGUGGUGGAAUGUUAUAGGUGUCUGUAAGUUGGCUCGGAUACCAUCUUUAUCAAGAUAUUAAGGCGCAAGGCGCUAAGGAGUUAUUUUCCUUGAUACCCAAGAUGUCUGUUUGUGCUGAGUAGGGAGUGUUUUCCACCAUUUGGUAUAGGUAGAUUCAGGGAAGAAAACAUCAUCGCCAAGAAGGCUACUCUGGAUCCAGCCAUUUGCAGCUGUUUCUAAACUCAGAAUCUUGUCUUGCACUUGUGCAAAUGGCUUGUUUCUUAGUUCCUCCACUUCUGCCCAGAAACAAGACUCGGAACGUGCACCAGCAUGCACUUUAUCAAAAUGCUCUAACCAUCUCUGUGUGAACCGAUAACGCUUAGGCCUACCCCUGAUCAAGUAAGGUCCACUAUCUUCAUUCUUCAAGUGCCUGUAAUAGUUUGCAAUAUCUAAGGGCUCAACUUGCCUGCGAAACUGUGUCCCUAGUUCUAUCCAGUCUUUUUGUCCCUCGAAGCUAUCUGGGAGCUCAUACCUUUUCAACAUUUCAAUGAUCUCAUUCCAUAUACCUGCUAGCUCAUGCCUUUUCACAUUAGCAUUGAAGUCAUCAUCAGUGUUUUGAAUCUUGAAUGCAUCAUAAUACCCAACUUUAUGGAUAUCACACUUGGUCUGGUACUCCUGUAUCUUGCUUAAUGCGUCCCUGAUGCUUCUCUUAUUUUGUUCAAUCUUUUCCUCGUUCUUCUUCUUCUGCUUCUCCCACUCUCCUGCUGCACGAAGACACAGCCUUGCUCUUGUGCUCUGAGAUUUAGAUAACGUGAAAACGCCUAUUAGCUUGAGCAAGAUAGACAAUUCUGUUGAAAAUGAAAAUUAACCAUAUCUAUUGCUUACCAGGCCAAGGUCAUUCAGUGCUGAAUUCAUACUUGCAACUUCAUCGCUUGGAUCAACAUUUGAAGAUAAAGGAAUAUCAGUAAGAUUGUUGAGAUGAAUGACAUCUUGCAUCUCUAAGCUAUCUUGCAUUUCGUUUGUAUACAACAGGUGAUCGUUUAAACUUCUAGCAACGACUACUACAGCUUCUGCUUCGGAACUCAAUUGAGAGGAAUAGAACAGUAACUGCAGAACAGCAUCAGGGUUCUCAACGACAACCAGUUUCCUAUUCCCAGUGCAGAAGAUGUAAGUUCCAAAGGGUAUAUAAGGGCUGAGUUGAACAAUGUUGGAAACAGUUUCCAAGAGCAAGUUUGUGCAUCCCUUCAGAUUACAUGCAGCAUAGCUUGCAACAGAGGAUGCAUUCCUCAUUACAGUCAUAAAGAAAUUCAAUGCAUUACUUGAUCGUGCAACAGCAUCGCGCUGAGAAUACUGGGACUUCGGAUUGAUGAAGGGAGAGAUUGCUUGAAGCAAUUCUUGAAUUGAUGAAAGAGGAGCAAGCAUCAUCCUGGGGACAAUGUCGUACUUCAUGACAAAAUGUAUGAAGUAACGAGCCCAGUUUUCGCGCCUGAGGGCAUGAGACCAUAUCUUGUUGCCAACAAGAGGGGAUCCAAAAGUCAUACAGUAUAGAUGGACUAACAUGUCACCUUCUGGUCUUGUGCGGCAACAUUCCAGACACCAGAGAGCUGCCAGAAUAGCUAUAGCACCACCGGACGAGUGCCCUGCAAACACUACUUGUCUUCCUUUUGACAUUGCCUUCUCCACCUAAAACCAACACAACUCCAUGAAUCAACAUUCACUUUCCAAAUCAAAGAUGAAGGUAUGAAGCUUAAUUUCCAUUAACCUAGUCUACACUCUACAGAGGCAUUAUCAUGAUAGAAUCUAUGAUAGGAAUCAGUACUCUAUUUAGACUUGGAACAUAUUGCUGACAUGAUAACUAAUACUCCCUUCUUUGCAAUUUAAGUGUCUUACUAUCUUUUUUGGUCUGUUCCAAAAAAGAGUCUCUUUUUAUAUCUUGUAAGUUUUCCAAUCCCAACACUCUACAAGGAGUUAAAGACCAAAAGAUUUAUAGGACUACACACAUAUUUAAAAGUCUCCCUUUAUUUCUUAAACCCCGUGUCUAGUCAAACUAUGACACUAAAAUUGGGACGGAGGGAAUAAAUAAACCACUAGACGGAAUCAAGUUGAUCAAACUGAACUAUCAGGAAUAGAACUUCCAAUGCUCUUGAAAAAAAAUUGAAUCAAAAAGAAAAAAUUCUUUGUCUAAAGACUUGCACAGAAUUUGAUUCUUCAACUGGUGUACACUCAAGUUGUAAAAAACAUUUAUCUAUAGGUUAUACUAAUAUUAAACACUACAGUUUUUUCGUGUCAAGUCAAAAUCAAGACAAACAAAUUGAAACGAAAGGAGUUUUAAGAAAGAACAAGAUGAUUGAACCCCAGUAUGUAUACCUCAUUUUUAAGUGAAGAUUUGUCCAGUAUGUCUUGAAAUCUUCUAGCAAAUGCUUCAUUGACCUUAGCUACCUCAUCAGUGCCAACACUUCUCAAAGAUGGAAACAGAGUGGUGUUAAUCUCUGUCUCUCCAAAAGAAGUGUUACUGUACCAACCAUCAAAAGACAAAGUUCCAGCAAAAGCAAUAACAACAUCAGUAGACCCAUUUAUUUUCUUGUAAAUAUAAGGUUUCUCAGGUGAUAAAUUGUGAGCUUCCAUGGCUAAGUUACAAGCUUUCUUGAUUAGCUCUUCUCUGACUUCAAUUCCUUCUCCAAUUUUUCACCAUUUUUUGCUUCUUAGCUGCUUAAAGAUUGCAACUUUACUGUUAGUUUCAAAACCUUGAAGAAAGAUUGAGGAUGGAGAGAUGGAAUGAAGGUAAGGGGAAAUGGGUAUUUAAGCUUUUGGUGAUUGGAUGAAAUGUAGAGGAAAUGAGUCAUUGACUUUUGGAGUCUUUGUAUAGCUUUGCUUGACUCUUGCCUGUGGAAAUUGUAUAGGAAGAUAAAUGGGAGUAUGUAUCAAGGAAAUUUCCUACUAAUUGUUCUGCAAAAUGGUUAUUGUACGGACUCAUAUUAAUUUUAUAGAAAUGAUUAUUUUUGAAGGAUUUGAUAUGCAUUCGCUUUUCAUUCGUCGUAAAUUCCCUUUUACGUCUUUCAUAAGAGCAAGAGGGGUGGGUACUCUACUAACACUUCACUUUUCAUAUAUUUGUCGACAUUUUUGAAAAGUUAUUUAAAAUGAAAUAGUAUAUUUUACUUUUAUUUUUGUUCUAGUUUGUUUCAAAAAAAUAUAUCAUAUUUCUAUUUUACUUUUAAUAAUAGUACUUUAAUAUAAGAUAAUAUGAUAUGUUUAAGAAUAUAGGUAUUUUUAUUUUGUUACACACGUAUUUAAUUUAAGAUAACAAAAUUAGAAGAAUUUUUUUCUUUAUAUUCUAAUUUUUAUGCACAUUACACAUCAAAUGCGACCGACACAUGGAAAGUGAAAAGGGGGGAGUAUAUUGGUGCUAUUAUAUUCUUUCUCUUGAUUAUUUUGAAAAGUGGGUACCCACUGAAGGACAACUUGGUGGUUGGUACUUUCUUUGUUUUUUCUUUAAUUUUUUUAUAAGAAAUAAAGGCUGGGAAGUUAGAAAAGGCAACUCGUUUUGAAGAAAAAUAAAAUUUUGGGUAUGACAAAUAAAAUAUUUCGUGUUCACACUGGAUCCAAAGAAGGGCCUAACCCGAGAUACAAAUAGAAUAGAAAAGCUACUUUGAUAUUGUCUCUAUUCGAUUAAGGUUUAUUAAAAUUGUUUAUUGAUUAACGAGCAAAACAAACAAUUCUAAUAGACUAGAGUUUAGUUUGCACAUUAUUAAAAUUGCUUUAUGGACAAACUCCCUUUCACUAGUUCCUUGAAGGUGACUUGUAAAAAGCCCAUGGUUCAGCAGAAGUAUACUCUGUCACCUGCUUAAUGUUCAAGAAACUUUCAAGACCCCUGCAUCAAUGCACAAACGAUUAUCACUUAUCAGUCCGAUCAGAUCAGAUCAGAUCAGAGGUCUCAAGUUCGUGCAUUGAAAAUGAAAC
rnacentral:lncRNA from 1 species